UGUGCUCCGGUUUAGAGUUUGUUUUCCUUUGUUUUUCGUUUGAUGGUUUUUUUGGGCCUGUCCAAAACCACUUUGAGUUAGCCUUUUGGGCCGUAAUUGUGGUGUGGGGCCUGUCCCACCCGAUUAGGGUUAGAGUCGCCCUAUAAAGGGUUUUUGGUAGCCGUCGUUGUAAGGGGGAGUUGAAUUUUCGAAAUUAAGAGUAGACCAGAAAGUCCCAAUGUUUGGGGGCGCAUAUCGUCGUGUUUGCUUGCUGAUCUUGAAAAUCUGAUGUUAUGCCCUGCGGUGGAGUUGAUUCUAAUCAGUUCCAACGUGAGGAAUUGGAGGGAUUUGAUCUGGAUUACUUCAGAUUGAUUUCGCUCGGUUGCGGAUCAGCUUGUUCGUCGAUCGCCGUGAAAGAUUGGGCCUAAAACCCUUUGGAUCACGUUGAUCCUUAUCAGAUGGACGUCUUCUUUACAAAAUUGUAAAAUUACCGCUUAAAUGGCACAUGAGCCAGUUCACAAAAAUUCUUAAGAUAAAUAUACACUACUACAAAAUACAAAUUAAGGAAGAGUUCUUCAUACAUCCGCAAGAACUCGUGGUUCCAAAUCCAAUGUAGGUCGUGAACUAAACAACAAAGCUAAAUUUUGAUAUAUGCUCAUAGUGUUUUCUACGGACCGCCGGUAUUAUAUAUGCUUGAAGUUGAAUCAGUGCAAGGAUGGACAAUACAAUACUCUUUUUUCCGCCCACACAAAAUACUUUGAGAUUUUAAGAAAUUGUCGUAUGCUUUCAAAUUCCACAUUUUCAAUACAAUACGUUGUUGUAGAGUAUAUAUCUACUUAUGAUAGUUUGGACAGUAAUAAAUAGCAUAAAUUAUCACAAAACAAUUAAAUGUACACCUUCUUAUGAUAUUCGCAAAUAGUUAGUUGUUAUUUAAUGCAGUUAUUAUCUAAAAAGAUACGGUGCCCUCAUUUACUACCCAUAUGGAGCACAACACCAUUAAUUUUGUCCAUUUAAAAAAGAUUUAGGUCGCAAAGCAUUUAUUAUGGCGCCCCACGUUUUGUGCAUAUCGCUUUCUAAUUGUUUGGCAUAUCUUCGUCUUGGUAUUAACUAUUUGCCAUAUUAAAAUAUACAAAUCAUUACCAGAAAGUACUCUUAGAUGGUCAAAAGGUAAUUUGGUAUUCAGAAUCAUAUCCUAAAUUAGUGUAUCCAACUCGUACAAUAAGCUCGGAAGGUUAUUAGGUCUGCACGAACCAUUUAGCUCUUGCUACAUGUCCUCUUCAUUCCGUCCACCACCGGGAGGGCGUGCCGCGUGAUAAAACUUCUCUCCAAACGGCCGCUCUAUAUAGUUUUCAACCCAUUGCGGAUUCGUCUAUAAAUAUGUAAAGCCCUAUAUUUAGUGAAUUGUAACUCUUUUAAGACAGUUUUGACAACUUAUUUAACCAUCAUGAUCAGUACAAAAUACUAGUCCUUCCCGAAUACAAUCUAGAACAAAAUCACGAAACAUCGAGAUCCACAAACUCCGAGGUCUAAGCUAUAAGAGCAUACGGUCUAUUUAGAUUGUGGCCAAAUUGUUGCUCACUAACAUUCCACCGUGACCAAAGAGUUGAUCUUUGUUUAGACGGUUACUAAUGUUUUGCUAUCCAAUGCUUUCUUAUUUUCGGCACUCUAAUUCAUUUUUCUUGCCAAUGCCGAUCAAAGUACUGGGCAGCCAAUUUUUCGGUAGACCAAACCUAGGCUGAAAACUAAAUAGUACUGUGAGCAAAAGAACAACAAGGAGUGAAGCGCGACACCAAAGCUUUAAAUUGUCGUUACGUUGGAUCCAAAAACGCCAAAACCUUUUCGAUCAGACGAAGCUUCGAAGGCCAAAAAGCUACUACAGCCUACGCUCGCAUUUGACACACACGCGUAAAAUCCGUCGUAAAUUUCCUGUGUCCCCAACACGUCAUUCUCCCCGGUAUAUAUCCAUCCUUCCAUCCCUGUCAGUCAUCACAGCUUAUACAGCGAACAAAAGCAGCCAGCAGCCCUGGGCUCGCCGGUGCUAGCUAGCUCGAUCGAGGACCCGAUCGAUCCCCUUUAAUUCCAAUGCCGCCGCCGUCCACUUCCAACGCCCAACACUCCCCUCACGCCAUGCUUCUUCUUCUCCGGCGCCGGCGGCCGAUCGACGACCUAUCCACCACCGCCGCCGCGAUCUCCCUCCUCCUCCUUCUCCUCGUCGCCGUUCAGGCUGCGGCCGUCGUCGAGGAAUUCGUGUAUCCGGGCUUCCUCGGUGCCGGGGAGAACGUGACGACUACCGGCGGCGCCGUGGUGACCGCGUCUGGCCUGCUGCAGCUGACCAACUUCACCAAGGAGGAGUUCGGGCAUGGCUUCCACGGCACCCCGAUCCGCUUCAGGGACGCCGCCACGGGCCUCCUGGUCUCCUUCUCCACCACCUUCGUCUUCGCCAUCUUCCCGCGGUACCCCGACGCGCUCGGCCACGGCCUCGCCUUGGCCUUCGCCCCUUCCCCGGCCAUCCCCGGCGCCGUCACGGGGAAAUACCUCGGGCUGUACAACACGUCGAACAGUUUGGGGGCGGUCGACAGCGGGAUCGUCGCCGUCGAGCUCGACACCGCCAGGGACCCCGAGUUCGGCGACGUUGAUGAUAACCAUGUCGGGAUCGACCUCGACGCUCUCCGCUCCGUCAACGCCUCCCCCGCCGCGUACUGGCGGAGCGAUGGCGAUGGCGGGAGGUUUGUUAAUUUCAGCCUGGAUAACGGCGCGGCGAGGCAGGUAUGGAUCGAGUACGACGCCGCCACCGCGUUGCUCGAGGUGACCGUGGCGCCGGCGGGGGAGCCCCGGCCGGCUGUCGCGCUCGUGUCGUACAGCCUCGACGUCUCGUCUUCCUUGGUGGCCCACGACGGCGGUACGUACGUCGGGUUCUCCGCCGCGAACGGCGCCGCCUCGAGCACGCACUACGUGCUGGGAUGGAGCUUCCGCAUCGGCGGCGGGCCCGCGCCGGAGCUCGAUCUGUCCGCGCUGCCGAAGCUCCCGAAGCAGCCGAGGCCGUCCAAGGCCCCGCCGCCGCUCACCGUGGCUCUGCUCGUCGUGCUCGCCGUGGUGGUGGCCCUUGUCCUGGCCGUCGCGGCGACGGUCUUGGUGCGGCGGCGGAGGAGGCGGUUCGCCGACGCGGAGGAAGAAGAGUGGGAGAGCGAGUACGGGCCGCACAGGAUCAGCUACAGGGAUCUCCACGCCGCCACGGACGGCUUCCGCCACGUCAUCGGCGCCGGCGGCUUCGGCCAAGUGUACCGCGGCGUGCUCCCGGCGGGCUCAGGCUCGACAGAGAUCGCGGUGAAGAAAGUGUACCCUCAAGGCCACGGUUCGUCGCAGCAGGGGCUCCGGGAGUUCAUAUCGGAGAUCGCGAGCAUGAGCCGGCUCCGGCACCGGAACCUGGUCCGGCUCCUCGGCUACUGCCGCCGGCGCGGCGGCGAUGGCGAGCUGCUCCUUGUCUACGACUACAUGCCCAACGGCAGCCUGGACCGGCACCUCUUCGUCCCCAGCUCCGGCAACUCCAAGCGCCACCCGCUGAGCUGGGAGCAGCGAGCGAAGAUCAUCCAUGGCGUCGCUGCGGGAUUGCUGUACCUCCACGAAGGGUGGGAGCAGGUGGUGGUGCACCGGGACGUGAAGUCCAGCAACGUGCUGCUCGAUGGCGCCAUGAACGCCAAGCUCAGCGACUUCGGGCUCGCGCGGCUUUACGACCGCGGCGGCGGCAGCGGCGAGCAGCGGACGACGAGCAUAGUGGGCACGCCGGGCUACAUCGCGCCGGAGAUGAGCAAGACGGGGAGAGCCACCGCGGCCACCGACGUCUUCGCCUUCGGGGCCUUCCUGCUCGAGGUGGCCUGCGGCCGCCCGCCCAACGCACCGGGAGCCGGAGCCGGAGACAACGACGACGACGACAACUACCCGCCGGGGCUGGUGGACCUGGUGGCGGGGAGGUGGAAGGCCGGGGAGAUCAAGGCGGCGAGGGACCCGAGGAUGGCGGUGGCCGGGGAGCAAGAGGAGGGUGAGGUGGAGACGGUGCUCAAGCUCGGGGUGCUCUGCUCGCACCCGGACCCGCGGCGGCGGCCGGGCAUGAGGCGGGUGGUGCAAGUGCUCGAAGGGGCCGCGCCGGCGCCGGAGACGAUGCCCGAGGACCUCGGCGCGGGCUUGUUCGGGUACGGCGGCGAGGCGUUCGACGAGUUCGUCGACACCGGGUUCACGGCGUCGUCCGAGGGCACCACCGCCACGAUCACGCGGCCGUCCUCGUCGCGUUCCCCCGAGGAGAAACAGCAGCUCAUUACUGCUGAUUAAUUAGUGGCGAUUCAUUCUCGUUUGUCUUGGAGCUAACCAACUUUUGGCAAUUUCUGCACCUGUGCUGUUUAACUGUCAGAUAGCAGGUUUUCGGUUGAGCUUGAUCGACCUCGAGGUGGAUUUUUUUUUUCAGAAUACUUUUUUCUCUGUAUUUUUUACAGCUAAAGUUUUAGCGCAACAUGGUCUAGCAAUCGCAAACCGAGCCAACGAUAGAAUUUUCUUACCAACGUACGAUUCUCCUAGCGGUGAGAUUACUAUUCUGAGGUGGGCGACGAAGUCUUUUUCAUUGCGAAAACCAUACAAAGCUCUCGUCAGCAGAUCGUUCGCUCCGAGAGACUAAAGAACGAACGUUCGCUCAAUAUAAAUUCCAAUUUUUGUGCUAAUAGCAAAUAGCUUUCCUGGUUCACAUGUACUUCGAUGGAAGUACUCCAAAAGGUUUCCUAUUACAGCACGAACCGAGUGUAUUUAUUUUAUGUUACAAGGGAGAUGCACGUACCAAACGGCACAUGAGCACCAUGAUUCCAUGAAUGAUAAAAUUGCAGAGUAUCGGAACUGACUUAAUUGCCCAUCACCUUAAAUGGUAAAAAAAAAACUAUGGGAAUCAAAACUAGUUGCGUGAGCUUCGGCCAUCAAGAGAACAAUGCACAAUCAAUGGCGCUCUUAAAAAAGAAAGUAAUUCCGAGAUAAUGGCACUGUGGUUGCUGGCUGGCAUGUCAGGACCUCUCCAUCAGCAGAAACCGUGUAGGUUUCUGGGUCGACUUCGAUUUUGGGAAGCGCGUCAUUGAGCUUCAUGUCCAGCUUUGUUAAACCGCGAACACCGCCAACAGCUUCCACCCUCUUUGAUAGUUUGUACUCUGAUGCAACACCAGCUUCUUUCGCUGCCUGGUGAUCAUUUCAGAAAUUAAGCACCAGCCAUUGUUCAUUUGCCAAGAACAUAUAAUUCGAUCAGAAUAUUUAUUUAAACAAAGAUAUCACUGUAAUAUCUGGGUUAAGGUUGUUAAGAAACUUUUCAUGGUUUGUGGAGUAAUAACUUUUUCACUGUACUUUGUAAGGUUUAGUAAUAUAAUAACGGAAUUUAAUGGUGGAAGUCGUAUCAUGCUGGCUCUGAAAAAAAGUAAAACUUCUCCAAACUUGUUUUCCUUCAAUGGGAUAUUAUAUUACUAAUCAAUAAUCAUUGUAAACUUCUCCAAACUUGUUAAAAGAGUUAAAAACUAGCCUGACCUUGCUCACAAAUGCAAUCGAGUUAGAACUUCCGGCCUUUCCAAAUGCACCAAACAUAGGACGCAUCAUAACCUGCAUCAAGAAUGCACCAUGCUGCGCUGUAAGUUUUUCUACAAGGAGCUUGUGUAGAGACAUAAAAAAACAGAAGAAAAAUGGUCAUCCGCACAUUUCGGUUUCUGCAUAUACACUUAUACUUGAACAUUUUAACAAUGACAGACAAGAUACCGCCACGACCAUUUCCACGAUCAAGGAGGAAACGUACUGACGCCUGACAGGAUCUGUUUGCAUCUGCAUAGCUUUUGGAUAAGAUGCAUCUGCAUAGCUUUUGGAUAAGAUGCAUCUGCAUAGCUGCCGACCUAGGUCCAAUGGGUGUUUAAAUUGUUCAGAGCGUGAGUCCUAGAGUCAAAUCUGUAAUGGCUCACAGGCAACAGUAGGCUGUGUGUUCCUUGGUAUUUUGGUUCACCAAGUCCACCCCCUUGUUUUGUAACUCUUCUACUUUCUACUGAUAGAAAGAUGUGCAAAUCUUCUGAGCUAUUCUUGAAAAAACUAAAGUGUGAAACUGUGGAACAAGGCCUCACCUAGGGCAGAGGGCUUAUGGAUUUCGUGGUCUGUGGUGUGGCGGCUGCAGUUCUUGGGGAGGACGGGAGAGAGAGCAGGAAGAAAAACCCUUCAUUCAGGCUACUUAAUGGGCCUUGGGCCAGCAUGGGCCAACUAUAUUCAACACUCCCCCUUAAGAUGGGUGAUAUAUAUCUAUCAUUCCCAUCUUGUCACAUGCAAGAUUGCAAUCCUUAGUUCCCAAUCCUUUUGUUAGGCAAUCUGCAAGUUGCUGUCCUGAACAGACAUGUUCUAUCUUGAUAAUUCUAGCAUCAAGCUUCUCCUUUAUAAAGAAUCUGUCAAUUUCGAUAUGCUUUGUUCUGUCAUGCUGAACAGGAUUAUUUGCAAUACUUAUUGCUGAUUUGUUAUCACACCACACAUUUAAACAUCCAUUCUUCAAAAUCUUUAGCUCACUCAAUAGAUGUCUGACCCAUAGCAUUUCACUCAACCCUUGUGACAUAGCUCGAUAUUCAGCCUCUGCCGUUGACUUGGAUACCACUGGCUGUUUCUUGCUCCUCCAUGACACUAAAUUUCCUCCAACAAAGACACAAUAGCCUGAGGUAGAUCUUCUGUCAUCUAAACAACUUGCCCAAUCUGCAUCGCUAUAGCCAUCUAUAUUCAAGUGCCCAUUGCUUCUGAACCACAACCCCUUUCCUGGUGUUCCCUUCAAAUAUCUUAAGAUUCUAUGAACAGCCUCCAUAUGUCCACUCCUUGGUUCAUGCAUAUAUCGACUCACGACACUUACCGCAUAAGCUAUAUCUGGCCGUGUAUGACAGAGGUACAAUAACCUUCCAACCAACUUCUGAUAUGACUCCUUGUCCACUAGUUCUCCAGAUUGAGCUGUCACCUUAUGAUUUUGAUCAAUCGGAGUUGAUGCAGCUCUACAUCCCAACAUGCCCAUAUCACUGCGAAGUUCUAGCGUAUACUUCCUUUGUGAUAGAGCUAUUCCCUUUGACGAUCUAGCCACUUCUAUGCCAAGGAAAUAUUUAAGCCGUCCAAGGUCCUUGACCUCGAAAGUCUUACUCAAGCUCCUCUUCAGUCUUGUUAUCUCAGCUUCAUCGUCUCCCGUAAUGAUUAUAUCAUCGACAUAGACAGCUAGAAUUGUGAUCUUCUGCUCGGAAUGUCUGUAGAACACAGUGUGGUCCCCAUUGCACUGACCAUAUCCCAUGUCACACACGGCCCGCCUGAAUCUAUCAAACCAGGCUCUAGGCGAUUGCUUCAAACCAUAAAGAGACUUUUUCAAUCUGCAUACUUUGCCGGCAGUUCCAAACUCUAUGAGACCAGGCGGUACCUCCAUAUAGACUUCCUCCUGCAAGUCCCCAUGCAAGAAUGCAUUUUUGACAUCAAGUUGAUGCAAUGACCACCCAAAGUUGGUUGCACAAGAUACUAGAAUUCUCACUGUGUUCAUCUUCGCUACAGGUGCAAAGGUCUCAUCAUAAUCGAUACCAUACGUCUGGCUAUACCCUCUUGCCACAAGUCUUGCCUUGUAUCUUUCAAUUUUACCAUCAGAAUUCUGCUUUACCGUGUAAAUCCAUUUACAGCCCACUGCCUUCUUUCCAUCUGGAAGAUUUGUCAACUCGCAGGUCCUAUUCUUCCUUAAAGCCUCUAGCUCUUCCCUCAUUGCUGCGCACCACUUAGGAUCCUGCCGUGCUACUCUCCAAUCAGUGGGAAUGGACACUAAUUGGAGAGAGGCUACAAAUGCUCAAUAAGAGGGUGACAAGGACUCUUAUGACACAUAAUUGCUUAUAUCAUUUUCAAAGCCAUACCGUUGUAUAGGUUUGUUUACCACAGCAUGUGUCCCCUUCCUCAAGGCAAUGGGCAAGUCCUCUGUCGUCUCUGAAUCAGUUCUGGACUCUCCAGAAAUACCAUCAUUGCCUCGUGUCUCAUUCUGAACCUCUGCUUGUUGCUCCCCCUGGAUCUGUUGCUCCCCCUGGAUCUGCUGCUCCCCCUGGAUCUGCUGCUCCCCCUGAACUUUCCUUCUUGUAUACACUCGAAGAUUUUGUUCCUCGUGUGGCCUAGGCCACCUUCUCUGCGCCUCAGCUGCCGCCGUAGAGAUAGAAUCUGGUGCCACAGAGAUAGGAAUAGAGCCAACAAAAAAUCUGGUCCGGGUUGCAUCAUGAGCAUUCUGUUGAACAGACUGCUCCUCAACUUGCUCGCCCUCUUGACCAUGCUGUAUAGGUUGCAGCUGGUCAAGUCCCUCAAACAGAACACUUAGAUCAGUCUUCUCUCCAUAAAAUGGCUCGGAUUCUCUAAACGUGACAUCCAUACUUACAAAUGUGCGUCUCUCUGACGGACACCAACAUCGGUAACCCUGCUGGCCAGAUGGAUACCCAAUGAAGAUGCAUUUUACAGCCCUCGGAUCCAACUUUCCCACUGAUGGCCUGUGAUCCCUGACAAAACAAACGCAUCCAAAUAGUUUCGGGGGUACUACAAAUUUGUUCUCCCCCAAUAGCGUUUCACAAGGAGACUUCAUACCCAAUACUCUUGAUGGUGUGCGGUUGAUCAAAUAUGUAGCGGUCAUCAUAGCUUCACUCCAAAGGAAUUUUGGAACAUUCAUGGUGAACAUCAAUGAUCGAGCUACCUCUAGUAUGUGCCUAUUUUUUCUCUCUGCUACGCCAUUCUGAGGCGGAGUGUCUGGACAUGAUGUCUGGUGUAGAAUCCCAUGCUCUGACAAGAAGGUCCCAAAGACUUGGUUCACAUAUUCAGUACCGUUAUCGGUCCGUAUCACUUGCACCUGCACCUUGAACUGAUUCUUCACAUAGGCAUAGAAAUUUUUGAAACAUUGAAAGACUUCAUCCUUGUGCUUCAUUAGAUAAAUCCAAGUCAUGCGUGAGUAACAGUCAAUAAAGGUCACAAAGUACUUCAUGUUGCUAAUAGACACAACAGGACAUGUCCACGCAUCUGAAUGAACAAGCAUGAAAGGUGUGAUGCUCCUCAAUCCUUUACUAACAUAAGACACCCUGGUGUGCUUUGCCCACUCACAGGCAUCACACUUUAACUUAUUCUUAUCCACUCCUUUCAUCAUAUCAGGAAACACCUUGUACAUCUUAUCAAAUGAUAUAUGCCCCAUUCUACAAUGUUGUGUCAUUGCCAUAGUUUCCUUUUCUCCAAACAUUGCUACUAACAUCGAGUUGUCCAUCUGGCCGAGUCCCUCACGAUCCAUGUACCAAAAUCCUCUAUGUCUGGUUCCAGUCCCAAUCUUCUGGCCCGUCACACGAUCUCGGAUCACACAUCUAGCUCUAUUCAGAAGUAUCUCGCAGUCCUGCUGGUCUAUAAGAGCACUCAAUGACACAAGGUUCACGGGAAACGCAGGGACAUACAAGACUGAAGACAAUCUGAUUUUUGGUGUACAUUUCACUGAUCCCAUCCCUUGGAUAGGCCGAGCAGUGCCAUCAGCAGUUUGUAUCGUUUCCUCGUGUGUGGGAGAAUAUGAACUAUAUAGUUCAAACUCCUUUGAAUUUCCAGUUACGUGUUUAGAUGCCCCAGAGUCUAACACCCACUCUGAAUUGGUGCCAUGAACAGCUACGGAUGCCCUUUCAGCAACAACUUCACUUGCGUACAAACAAACUUGUUUGUCCUCCUGACUGACUUGCUUGAUCUCAUCCUGCAAGAACGAUGUUUUGUCCAUCUUCAUUACCAUCAUCUGGAGCUGCUCCAACAGCUGCCUACAUUUCUUUUCUUCACAGACACUGCGUGCCACAACCUCCAAUAUCUCUGCAACUAACGACAACUAACGACAACACUUGUAGAUUCUUCGUGUUGACAUUCAAUCCCAUUGAAUUCGAUCUCUGAACUUCCAUCAAAUUCCCUUCAAUCUUCUCCUCCUUCCCAGUUGCAGCCACUGCCUCCACUUCCUUGACCUGAAGCAGCUCAACCACGCCCUGCUGUUUCUUCCCGACAGCCUCAUCAUGCCAUGUCUGGACCUUCCCCCUGCAUUCCAUCUCCUGCACUGUCCUUGCCCUCGCUGCCUCGAGAGAGUCCUUGGCAGAAUAAAGGGGCGUGCACUGCACCAUCUCCUCCUCCACGCUGCUAGCGACGGUCACCCUUGCUGUGCCGCCGUACAUCACCUCACCACUGCGCCAUGCUUCCUCGCUGCCUGGCGCCGCCCCCGCGCCUCCUGCGCAUCGCCAAAGCCUCUUGCAAGCCACCGCUGCUGCAGCCUGCACACGCGCCCGCACCUCGUCCUGUGCCUCCCAGCGCCGCCGCUGCAGCCUGCACAUGCCGCCAAGACCCAUACUGGCCGCACCAGACUCACGCACAGGAAAUCGUGGGGGUCGCCUCAGGAACCGCCGCCGCCGGAUCCGCUGCCGCCGGUGGCUCUGAUACCAUGUGGAACAAGGCCUCACCUAGGGCAGAGGGCUUAUGGAUUUCGUGGUCUGGUGUGGCGGCUGCAGUUCUUGGGGAGGACGGGAGAGAGAGCAGGAAGAAAAACCCUUCGUUCAGGCUACUUAAUGGGCCUUGGGCCAGCAUGGGCCAACUAUAUUCAACAGAAACUACAAUAUAAGAGUUAGGUAAAAAAAUAGCAUGUUGUUUUUUUAAUCAAUUUUAACUGCACAGGGAGAAAGGUUUUUCUUGCACUAACAUCAGUGAGGCUCUGACCAAAAUUGGAUGCCAUGGUCAGCUUGGUCAUAAAUAGUAAGCUUCAAGCUAGUUAUUUACUUCCUCUGCCCGGUAUUAAGUGUCACAACUUUGUCUAGAUACACAUGUAUCUAGACGCAUUUUAGUGUGUAGGUACAUGCGUAUUUACACAAAGUUGAGACUUAACACUGGACGGAGGGAGUACAUGUAGGCUAAAAGAGAACAUUAUGGAUGAAUUGGAACAAGACUAUCUUAUUCAAAGGAUAUCAGAGAAAGAAGUCCAUACAGGCUCAGGUGUUGGAAUGCUAGCAUUUGGAUCACCCAUGUUAGCCCAAGCAAUUGCACCGCCUUUUAUAAUCAAUUCUGGUUUUGCACCAAAGAAAGAAGAUUUCCACAAAACUAGAUCAGCUAGCUUCCCCACCUGACAAAAGUAUGCGGGAAUGAACAUUAAAAAUGAGAAGAAAAAAAAGAUCAGUUAGCGGCUGAAUUAAGAGAUUCACGGGAAAUGCUUAGCCAGAAUGUUACUGGGUGUGACAUUAAUGAUACAUAUGAAGGGAUGAUAAUUAACGAAAGCACCCUCUAUUAAACAGAUUAUAACAAAUUCCAAAACGAAAAUAUCUUGCGCUGCCUUGAUACAGGGAAUUUUUUUAGGAGCUACAGUGAUAUUACACAUGUUGCUGGAAGCCUGGAAUCAAGAGUUUGGGGAAAAAAAAAGUACCAGGCAUAUUAACAAAUUAGACACAAUUACACUUUAUAUUUUAUUAUCCUCAACUUAUACCAAGCAUAAGAAACAAAGCAGAUUUUGUUUUCCUUUAGAUGUAUUGUUUCAUGGUGCGUGGAAGACCUUGUCUAACUUAUGUUGUCUACUCUGUACUGAAUAUGAUGCAAUUAAUAGAAGAAAUUUUGACAGUAGGCAAGAGAUACAUACCUCGACUGAGCCAACAAAGUCUGAAAAGCCGUUUACUAUAGCAGGAUUUAUGGUGUAUUUUGCUAUGUAUCUUCUUAUACGGAAGUUGUCAUUAUCCUUGGAAGGAUCGGAGUCACCAGACCCAGGUAACCUACCUCUCUGUACUUUCAUCUUGUUUGCAGUUUGCCAUGUUCGGAUAAUCACCUAAAAAGCAAUGGUUUCAACAAAUGCAUAUAAGUAAAUCAAGUUUGAAAUCGGUUACUGGUUACUAGAGCUUACUCGUCAAGCUAAAUGUACAAGUAGAACUAAACUUGUUCGAGCCCUCCCAAACAUUUUUUUCCCGUCAUGGCUUAUCCAAGAAAAGCUAUAUUUCAUUAAAGCAGUAGCAGGAUGCAGGUGACUGGAAACCAAGCUGAGCUCCAUCCAUGUCUGAUCAGUCUAGUGGAUCCGUGUACACAACCAGAAGAAAGUGCUUCGUUAAAAGAGUGAUGUUUGCUUAUCACUCAUCAGUGCAUGUCAACACCAUUGACUUUCAUCUACAACAGAAAAAAAAAUACUUUGGUAAAAUGGGUCUAUCUAAUUCAUCCCAUGUUCACCGACUCUUGCACAUUGACUUGGUUGUUCAUUGUAUUAAUCUGACAGAUUACCACAUACAUGAAUGUUAACUGAUGGAACUAUAUAUUCAUGUUGUGAAGACAAUCAAUCAACGAACAGCACCCUAUAGGAAUGCAACCAUAGUCUGUAAUUCAUUGUUUAACAUUGGUUUUGAUGAGCAUGAAUGCAGGAUAAGCAUAUGUAACAGACCUCUCCAAUGCGACCCAUAGCCUGUGAAUCAGAUGAUAUGAUACUGAUUGCUCCCAUGUCAUGCAAGAUGUCCUCGGCCGCAAUUGUUUCUGCUCGAAUUCGUGACUCAGCAAAUGCUACAUCUUCCGGGAUGUUUUUAUCAAGGUGGUGGCAAACCAUCUACAGGAGAACCACAAUAGAUGAUGACCAAAUUCUCAAGACAUACCCAUGGCAUUGGCACAAGAUAAUUUUUUACCAGCAUAUCAAGGUGCUCAUCAACGGUGUUCGAAGUAAACGGUCGGGUUGGAUUUGUCGAAGAAGGCAACACAUUUUUCACCCCACAUACUUUUAUGAUGUCUGGGGCAUGACCACCACCUGCACCUUCGCUAUUUAUAAGACAAUGAUCCCAAUGAUUCACAUUUCCGAUAAACUUAUAAAUUCGAUAAAUAACGUUAAGGGUACUUUGCACAAUCGCAGAAAAUUGAGCCUUUCUCCGCAAUCGAUCCAUAGACAAAUAACAGUAGAUAGAAUGCGUCACUGUUUACAGUAUACUGCAUACCUGUGGUAUGUAUGUAUAGUCCUAUCUUUAAAAGCUGCAAUUGUAUGCUCCACGCAGCCUGAUUCAUUCAAUGUAUCUGUGUGGAUAUUGACCUGUCCAAUAUAGAUGAACAUCACCGUAACAAAAAAUAUGCAGGUAUACCAGCAUGAUAAGGUGAUAAUAAGACAGCCUACCUGGAUAUCAAACGCUUCUGCAACACAUAAACAGUUAUUUAUGGCAGCUGGGGUGCUUCCCCAAUCUUCGUGCAGCUUAAGACCCAUUGCUCCUGCCUUAAUGAUCUCAGGUAAUCCAUCCGGUUUCGCAGUAUUUCCCUGCAGAGUUUCUCGAGGGGAAGAGUAUUCACGAUUUGAACAAUGAUAGGAAAUAACUUUGAUGUACUCCACUUCCCAGAUUUGGGCCUGUUUUUGGAUACUCAAAUUACUGAAUUUGAGAGCGCACAGUUUUUUUAAUGAGUUUGAGCUCCCAUUUUUUUUCUCUUUUUUAGUUCAGGACAGUUGGAUUAUCGUCUCCAGUAUUUUUUCUAUAUACCAUAAAAUAAAAUGAAGGGAAAUGCUAACUACAAAGCUCUGGAAUGCUAAAGUUAAAAUCUUGAUAUAUGUCUUUUGUAGCUCUAUUCCCAAAGAAAGCUUAUACAACUAAAAGAAGUUUUGAUAUAAAGCUAAAGAUUAUUAGUCUUUGUACUGAACUUUGAAAUGUACCUUUCCUGUGAAUCCCAUAUUGAUCGGAAUUUCAUCAGUGGACUGCAACAUUAGUUUCAUUUGAGAUGGUGCAGGGGUGCAAGUUGUGGCACAAGUUCCAUGUGCUGGUCCUGUUCCACCUCCCACCAAUGUUGUUAUGCCUACAAUAAUUUAAAGAUCUCAUGAUUAUCACUGAUUAAUCCUUAUCACAUGGUACACAUAUCAAAUAAGUCAUUGAAAGCACAAAUUGGAAAUCUUAAACAGAAAACUGAUCUUUGAAACAUGUAUUGAAAGCACGAGCUCUGCCAAGAGUGUUUUGUCAGUGUUAGCACCCAUAUAUUUGAGAAAUGCAAUGAAAGUAUCAAUACUCCAAGCUCCCAACAAAUGUGACUCCCUGUCUCUGGUCUGUAGUCACUAGCAGCGAAUACACUUUUGGGGAUUCUCUCCAUUAUUAUCCCAAGAAAAGCCCAACUCGGCCAAAACAUUUGACCUCCUUUGACUUCAGGUACAACAUUCAAAUAGAAAUGAUGAUCAUGUAUGAUAGACAAAGAAACACAUGACAUUGUGGCCUUCAAAACUCGUUUUUCUUGGAUGUGACUGGGCUUUUUUCUCUUAGUAUUCAGAAUAUUUUCCUUGCUAACAGAUGUAAGGAACCUUACCACUUGCAAUUGCCUCUUCUGCCAGCUGAGGGCAUAUGAAGUGGACAUGACAAUCUAUACCACCAGCAGUUACAAUCAUACCUUGAGCAGCAAUAACUUCCGUAUUCACCUGUAAAUGAUUUAAGCAUGCAAUUUCUUUUAAAUGUACUCCAUACCCUUUUUCUUUAGUAAAACAAUAAAAAAUGCAGGUAUGCCGUUACCCCCACAAUCAUGUUGCUAUGCACACCAUCCAUGACAUCGGGGUUUCCAGCUUUCCCAAUGGCAAUAAUAAGUCCAUCUUUUAUACCAAUAUCAGCCUUGUAUAUUCCUGUAUAGUCAAUCACGACAGCAUUUGUUAUAACUGUAUCUAGGCAGGCAGAUGCUGGAUACCCUGCAGAUUGUCCCAUUCCAUCGCGAAGAACUUUCCCCCCUCCAAAUAAGCACUCGUCACCAUAAACAGCAAAGUCCUUUUCAAUCUCAGCAAAGAGAUCAGUAUCACCAAGCCUAAUCUUAUCACCAGUUGUAGGUCCGUACAUGCUACAAUAUUUCUCAUGAUCAAUACUGCAGUCUAAUGUACCAUCACCAAUAAGACCUUCGCUGCAUCGGAAGUUCAAAGGUAAACAUGUCAGCCAAAUUAAACACAGCAGGCUGAAUUUGUUCACUGGAAUUAAAUGUGAAGGAAACAACCUUGCAUCCGGAUAAUCUUCAUGUCCAAAACCAUUCUCAGUAACCUUUUUAAUUACCUCAUUAAGCUGAGAACUGUUGACAGCACCAUCAGCAAUGCCAUUUCCACCUCUAAUUACUUUUUGACCACCAAUGCUUACAAGUGUAACCCUUUUUGAAUCCCCAGGCUGGAACAUAAAUAAGGUGUCAGAUUCUAGAGGAUUUUAGAAGUAACAUGCGCGAAUAUUUGUGUGAAUAAGUAGGAUCCCAAGUACUUGAAAUGUAUUGCUAGUUUAUAUACAGAACAAAAUGCCAAAGGAUGGAUCAUAUGUAAGAACCUCAAACCGAACCGCUGUUCCAGCAGGUAUAUUCAGUCUCAUGCCAUAAGCUCUUUUUCUAUCAAAAAUCAGGUACGGAUUGGCCUCUAUGAAGUGGUAAUGACUCCCAAUCUGCAAAGUGAAACACGAUUUGGACUCUCAUAAUUACUUCCAAUAGCACCAGAUUCUAAAGGGUGGUACAUCUCCCAUCAAAAGUGUGGGAUCAUAGAACUCAAUGCAAAUUGAACUUAUUAUGUAAAGGUUCUGGAUACUACUCCCUUUGUUUCUAUUUAUAAGGCGUUUUGGCAAGCCAAAUUGACUUGCCAAAACGUCUUAUAAAUGGGAAAAGAGAGAGUAUUAGACAUGCAUUUACAUUGCGUCAAAAGGGGCAAUUGAAUCAUCACAAAAACGAGAAAGCUAUUUCCAAAGCAAAAUGAAAUAAAAUGCAAUUUUAACCUGCAAAAGGCCAGCAAAAUGUUUACACAAACUCAAGAAAGUGGGCCACAAGCCCACAACAUUAGACAGUUCCAAAAAGAGGAACAGGCGAACAGCUUGCACCCAAUCAAGAUGUCUAUAUUGAAGAAUGAAUUUUUGCAAAAGAAAUAAAGAAUAAUCUUUCCUGAAAUUUAUUUUGAGAAAAAGGAUUUUAGGAGCAUAACAUUAGUCAUAGUGUUAGAGCUAGGGAUGCAAGUUUGGACCAGGCCAACCCCCUUUGCUUGCUCAAUGUAAAGGCAUGUGUACAGAUGACACACCAAUCAAGUGCCCAGUAUUCUCAAAAGUAAAUAAAUCAAGUGCCCAGUUGCCUCCGUAGUUUAGAGCCAUUUGGCUAACUCCAUGACCUAUCAUAUUAGCUCUUAACACAUAUACACGUUCGACAUAAUGUGGUAUUACAUAGCAGCAGGUUAUGUACCGUGUCAUGAUACAGGACGAUCAAGUGUUAUGACAUUAUCCAGGAGUGAUCUUCAUUAAAAGAAUAACACUCACACAAUUGCACCAUGAUCAGUGGCAUUAAAUCUUGGAUCCAGUUGUGAAAAUAAGUUGGGGCCAAGAUCCAUCUAAUGAAACUUUAGAGAAUAAGAACUGUGAUAAGUUUGCUAUCAGACCCCAAGCAAAAAACAUUACAAGUGCUUACCUGAAUAGGUCUGUCUGCCUUGUUAACAACCUUCAGAGUUAAAGCCCUGCGAUGAAGGUUGAGGAUAAUGCGCCCAGAGCAGAAAUGUACUUCACCAGGAGAGUCGUCAGCAUCACUCCCAGAAAAUAUUUCAUGUGAAGGUACUGCAACCGUUUAAUAUUUUGUGUAAAAUAAACUUUUUAGAGGAAGAUUGCCGCAAAUACAGUAUUUUAAUAAUUGUACAAGCAUACAUUUAAAAUGUAAACUCUUAUUAGUAAACCAAGUGUAUUGAUCAGCAUUGACAACCUGGGAGAUAAGAACCAUGUAGAGCGAGCUCCAGGUUUCCAUCAUCAGAAGAAAUAGGGUCAUGUACAGUAAUUAGUUUUGUUCCAUCCAUAAAUGUUCCUUCAACCUAGAAGAAAUGGUAUAAUUGGGACAUUAUGCUAUCAAGAAUUGAUUGUCAAGCAAAAUGUUGGAGGGUAGCACCCAAGGUCUAAUAAGAGCAGUAUUAUGGUCUAGUUGUAAUCUAAGCAAAAUAAAUAAGGGUGGCAGGUCCAGAGAGAGACACAAAUAAUCCCCUCAAUGCCAUCCAGGAUACUUGGUAUGAAGUUUCCAACAGAACUUAUCUCGGGUCAGUAAGAGUUCAAGUUACGGCAUUGUAUGGCAAGUUGGACUCAUAAAGCAUAUUUUGAUUGGUUAUGCAUCUCAUCGGAAGAACUAUCUAUAUCCUUUUUUGGACUAAGGCUAUUUAUAUAUUUGGUAGAUCCAGUUGAGAAGUUGUUGUGGGUACUCAGUACCGGUAUGGCAUUCCAAAUGUAAGGCACAUCCGUAUCACACAUCAGGUAACUUAGUGUUGGACAAUGUGGCAUGAAGUCUGCAAUCGACAUUGCUAGUAUUCAGGUAAAUAACCAUACUUUAGCAUUUGAAAUUAAUUAGUUAUCUGAUUGUUUUCCGAAUUGGGCAGGUUUCCCAGAACCUGCUUAUGAACUCACGCAAUUAUUUCCCAAAUCACUACAAACCAAGGUUCAAUGAUUGGAAAAUUAAGCAAUAUCAUAUAGCAUGAGAAAAGUAUCAACCUGUACAGUGUCUAAAAGGUGUGGAACAGCUGGAAGAACUUGUCUCCUGAUAAGCAAGAAAAAAGUAAAACUAUCAGAGCUUAGGUUAUAUGCUUAUGGCACAGAAAGGACAUCACCAGGUGAAGGCAGUAACUGGUCACAAGUAUUUGCAGUACAGCAUUCUAAUUUAUUUUUUCCACAGAAGAUCAGCACAAUGACUCGUAUUCAUCCACUUGUGAAAAGGAAGUCUUAGACAAUGGUUUCUGCAAAUCAAUAGUCUUAGACAAUGGAUGUACUUGAUGAACAGAUCUGUCAUAGACCUUCCAUGUUACAAACAAGAUGUGAGCAACUACUAAGUAACGAAGGAACUGAACAAGUGGCGUCAGCUUUUGCAUAGCACAUGCAUUUUAAAUGAAAACAAUUAUAAUCUUCUUCUAUCUAUUAUUCAAUGUUGAAAAAGCUUGCUAACAUUCUGCUGCGUUUAUUAUAAACUAGCACAUCUCCAGUAACGUCAGCUUACAUUAAAUUAUUUCGGCCAGAGAAGUAACUUUAACUAAGAGAGAUCACGAGUUAAAUCAAGAAAGCAAACAUCAUGUUUAUCUUUUAUUUGGAGGCAGUUAAAAAUGACUAUGUUGCAACUUGAAGUUUUUGUACAGGAGUUCAAAAGAUCAGUUACUACACUCGGCAUAAAAACGAACCUGCCCAACAUCUGUUUUCCCAAGUCCAUCAAGUCUGUUACACUUUUGUCUCCAUCACGAACAAACUCAAGAAUCUGCGUGAAGAAGCACAGAAAGGCUUAAUUCGACCAUGGUAACUCAAAAUGGUGGAUAAAAAUGCACGUUAUGCAACAACAUGGUCUACAGUCCCAAAAAAAAGUUUGGCCACUAUUUUGGACCUUUUUUGGUAUGGGAAUUUGGGUUCUAGUCCUUCGGACACUUGAAUUUCAACUAAAUUGGGUAGCAGUCCCUAGGAUAUGAUCUCCCAGAGGCCAGAGACAGAUUCAAAUCAAACCUCCCUCUGUCCAAAAUAUUUAGUGCAGAUUAAAGCCAAAAGGAAUCACCAGAGUCCUAGCCAUGUUGAACAAACAAAACAGUGCUACCAGGAACCUGGACUGUCACGCAGUCGAUAAAUGAAGACCUCUGCAUUGCAUUCCAGGACAACUCCCUAACUCCAUGGUACUUCCAUCAGAAAAAUUACGGUGCACCACACAAUUCAUGCACCAGUCUUACAAGGACAGAAGGACUCUCUCUAUAUAUCUCCGCGACGGCCAGUGAUACGAUUCCAUUCGAAGCAAAUAACGUUUUCCGCAGCAUUUGCAUCGCACUCCCCAAAUACGUUCCCGUUAUGACAAUAUGGCAGAGGAACUACUCAUUACGUUGGUUAUGCGUGAUGGUGACGACUGGUAUGCAUCGAUGCAUCCUCACCUGCGAGGCGAUGAGCGCGACGGCCUCGGUGUAGUUGAGGCGGAGCCCGCGGGCGAGGCGCUUCUGCGCGAGGAAGCCGGCGCCGUGCAGCGCCAGCUUCUCCGCUUCCCUCGGCACCAGCUUCAUCUCUCACUCGCCAGGGGGGCCGUCCACGCGGGACCAGAGGCGGGGAGAGGAUCCGGCGGGCGGGUGGCUGCGCCGGACUUGGGGGAGCAGGCGGAAGAGGGGGGAUGGAGAGCGAGAGCCGAGAGAGGUCGUCGCCACAGAUGAUUGGUGGGGGAGGCGGGCGGAGGAGAGCAGUUCGGUUGGAUUCUUCGAUGGGUCCGACUGCCGCCGCCGGGCCCACCGCCGGGAGCAUCGGAGCUCAGCUGAGAGGGGGGAAUCUGGAUUGGAAUCACGAGCAAGCAAGCAAGUUCAGUCCGUAAGCACAAGAAAAAUAAAAGGAAAUUGGUCACAGGACACCGUUCCGUUCUGUUCCGACGUUUGCAGAAAAACACCGGAUUGCAUAUUUGUCCAUUGCCAUUAUAAUUCUGUGAUCAUUUGUCACAACACAUUGUCUGUUUCAAAACGAAAAAUUUGAUUUUUUUCAAAUGAAAUUACUAUCUUACUCUACUAACACGACAUGAUAUUCAUACACACGAAAGUCUGUACUCCUCCUUGGAAUUAAUUAUACUAUGUUUUGGUGUAUUAUAUACUCUAUAUGAGAAAAGUGGUGUAUACAACUUCAGAAAAAAAUAUACAAGAAGAGAAAUAUGUAACCAGUAUAUACCAAGUACCAUAUACUACUUUUCAGCCGUGCAACUUGACAUAUUGUUUUGGGACACAAACAGUAUAUACUUUUCAAUCAAUCAAAGAAGUAUAUCCACGAAGAAGUGUGUAUCACCAACCAAAGUAGUAUAUACUGCUUCUAAUAGAAGCAUUUGUUGCCCGUUAAAAGAUAUAGGGGUCCCAAUAUAAUAUGUCAAGAAGUUGCAAGCCUGAAAAGUAGUAUAUAGCACGUAGUAUAUACUGGCUACAUACUUCUUUUGAAUUUCUUUAACUCAGAUGGAGUAUAGAGAAAGUCAAAAAAUUUGUUUCGAAGCAAGCAGUGUGUUGUGGCAAAUGACCACGGAAUUGUAAUGGUACUUGGCAAAGACGGAAUCCGACAGUGUGUUUCGGCAAAGGCCGCAGAAUAACGGUGCCUUGUAACCAAUUUCCCCGAGAAAAAUCAGUCCUUGUCAAAGAAAACGCAGCCGCGUAAUCCUGCACAAGGCGAGUAUAUAGUGUCCGGGUAGAUUAUUUAUCGGAGUAGUAUAACUUGUUUAAAUUGUUCGGAAAAAAUUGCUUAUAAGUCGGUAAGGUGAAAUGUUUUUCUUUUGUCCUGUACUAGUGGUAAACUAAUGCUCGAGUGUGCAGUCCUCUCUAACUCUAAGUGCGACUAAACAAUGGAAGGGAAUUCUAGAAUGCAAAAACUAAGCAUCCAAGAAUUAAAAUAAAUAAAUCAAAAGGCACCAAAGUUAUUUUUAAAAUAACUUGUUUAUUUUCCCAUUUCUUGGGAUUUUUCCUUCAGUCAUUUCAACUUAUACGCUUUUUAAAAUAGAUUUUGUUAAAUAUUGUAAAGGAAACCUGUGACAUGUUCUAAGGAGACAAAGUUGAUGACCAUACAUACAGUGGUGAUGCGGCAUACAUGUGGACGGCACAUUGGGCAAAACUGUUGGGAGGAACAUAUUGCUAGGAGUUGAACAAUUUUUCAAAUUAAGAGUAAGAGGCUGAUUCUACAACUAAAUGUCUACGAUGAAUUAACCGCCUCGCCCUUCUUGUUUUUCUAGUUUCUGAAUUAGUUUCUAGGUUCCGGAAAACCACUAGCAAAAAAGAUACUUAACAAAUAUUCCUUCCGUUCCAACGAAGGGAGUAAAAGCUUAUUUUUAAAACAUUUUUUUAUGGCUCAGCCAAUUUCAUAGCCUCUUUGAUCCAUACGAAUAUGGGACAAUCCUAAUCUUAAGGAAAAUUUCCUAUAUAGCUUGUUUAAUUUACGAGAUUUGAAACCAUAAGUUUGUCUUUCUACAGACUAUUUUGUAUUGUAUACAAUUCGAAAAGAGUUCAUUUCAUAAAGGUCCAACCUAAUGGGAUUUGUUUUGUUUUGUUUCGGUGACAAAUAGGGCUUACCUGAUCCUUCAAGUAACUUUAUGAAUUUUGGAAUUUUUGCAACGAUGCAAUCAAACAAACUCUUCUGCACAAUUCAGCAGCCCCGACCUGAGAUCCCCCGCGCUCGUUCUUUCUCGCCGCUCCAUGUCCCCGACCCGAUUAGGGUUCGAGCCGCCGCCUCCCGUCCAGAACGCCGGUGCCACCGGUCUCCGCAACCUCUCCAGCACCGCCCCGGCCCUAAAACCCGGUGUCGCAGGGCCCGCCCUCAGCGACCAGCGAAGCAGAGGCCCGCCAGCGACCAACUCAAGCCUCCUCCUCAUCCAUGGGCGAAGGACAAAAAAUUGUUUAGGUAGGGCGAUUCGUAGAACAUACAUAUAACAUUUAAUAUUUAUAUUUUAUAAUUGCAAAUUGUAUUUUAAUGUUCGUUGUUUGUAUUUUUAUUAAUUCUUAUAACAUUUUGUUUUUAAUAUUCAAUAUUUCAAUAGAUUUCAUGCAAAAAAAAUGUCGCAUCGUAUACAGGUAUAAACUAUCAAGUGUGUAAUAAUCUUAAUGCGUAUUUUUUUCUAAUAAUCCAAUGUUUCAAGUAAGCAUAAAUACAUGGAGAUGAAUUAUGAAGUUAGGUCUUUACAAGAGUAAAUAUAUAGUUAUAUUUUUCUCCAGAAACAUCUACAUACUUAUAUACUUAACAAAAUAGAUAUUCGGGUUUGUUAUACCCAAGUUGCAUGAUUUUUAGUUAGAGAUAAGUUGAUUGUUCAGCCGUUGGAUCUAGAUUGUGUUUUAAAAUUCGCAGCGAAAGGCAAAUGAGUGACUUUGAUACUAUCGACCAAGAAUUAAAUCUUUUACUUAAAAAAUCAGGCACCUGAGAUAUGGACACACCCAUAGAUAUUUGGCAAAAUAAACAGGGUAAAUUUCAAGAAACCACGGUUUUGGGGGCCCGUAUCAACUGGCCACAAACUUUUUACAUCACAUGAAUUAUUAAACUACCUUUUCUCAGUCAGGCCUAGGUGGGAGCUCUCGGCUCAUUUAUCUCUCACGUUUUUUUUUGUUUUUGUUUUUUAGAACAACGAUCUGACUUUGUUUAUUCAAGGAACAAAAUAAAACUGAUCGAAAAAUUAAGACAACAACAAAGAUUUUGGAUAAACCGAAAAUUAUAACAAAAAUCUUUAAAGCCAAGUUUUCUAGCCGCGCCGAUCGCAUUUUGAUAUUUCUCCAAAUCUCUGGUGACAAAACAGUAGAAGACCAAACCUGCAUAAGUUGUACUAACCUUGUAUGUUUUACUGAGCCGCCCAACCCAGCGGAUGAGAACUUAAGAUCGUUGAACGCGCGGUUGGCCUGGGCACACCCCUCGCAAGACAGGUUGUCGAACCAUUGAAUCAUAGCCGAACCGAUAAGAAAGAUGAUCAAAAUCAUGAAAUUACGAGCCAUGGGAUCCACAAACUCUAUGGAGUAGAUCAUGAUAGCCAUGCCGGAACGGGGAUGAAGCCGAAAGACCAUUAAUCCAAGCGUCGUUGCAUCCACCGUUAGGUGCUGCCAUCAAAAACACACAAAACCUUACAAAGAAGGUACUAAAAUGAUACCAGAUGUUUGAUCCGUAGUUCCUCUCAGCUCCUGGUCGCAAACGAGAUAUUUUUUGGUCGCAAACGAGAUAUUUUUUUCUCGGACGGCUAGGGUUUCACGCUGAGGAAAAGAGGACACUGUAUUUUUUCCUUUUCUUUGCUUUGCUUGGCAACCUUCCCUGCCCUGGCCCAUCUCGCCGCCGAGCGCCCCGACGGCCCAACCACGUAGCUCCUUGCCUUCCUACUCGAGCGAGCGCCGCCACCGCCUGCCGAGCGCCCGAGUCCCCUUGCUCCGUCGCUCGUCUUCCUCCUCGUGCGAGCGCCUCCACCGCAGAUAUCUAUCUCCCCUGCAAUUCUCUCGUCCCCGACCGUUUCUCCUCCCAUCACCCCACGAACAGAUCCCGCCCUUUAGCUUCCCGUUGCAUCUCCUUAAUCUUCCCCAAUUCGUAACUGAGGCAAAAAUCUACCUUGCCCUACCGGGUCCUCCGCCCUUGUCCUCAUCUGCGCGAGCGAAGCAACUCGCCGCCGACGAGCUUCGCCGGCCGCCGGGCAUUUACCAUGGCACUCGUGGUGAUGUGUGGGCAGCCAUGCAGCGGCAAGUCAGAGGCUGCGGCUUGUCUCGCUGCAUCUCUCCGCUCUUCCGCCGCUGAUGUCACUGUCCGUGUCAUUGACGAAUCAUCGCUCCAUCUUGGACGCAAUGAUAGCUACAAAGGUAUCGUCGGUUUCUAUUCUGCAUGUUUUGUCUAUGCUGCUAUUCGUUUUAAUUUUAUUUUACCAUGUACUAAUUUCUUUUUACCAAUUUUCUUUUCAUUGCUUAGAUAUGGUUGUGGAGAAAAACUUAAGAGGAGUUCUUAGAUCAGAAGUUGAUAGGUCCGUGUCACGGGACAGCAUAAUCAUAGUGGAUUCUCUGAACAAUAUUAAGGUGAGGGCAGUGCUUAUUCCUUCGUUCUGUUGUUGCAACUUGCAAUGACUAGUCCAUUCUCAAUUACUGACAGAAGAUAAAACUAGUGCUGUAUGGUCAUAAUCUUUAUCUAUUCUAUUGUUGUACUUGGUACAGUGUGAUCAGGGAAAGACUGGCUGCUAACCACUAACUACCAGUUUUGUGAAAUCGUGUUGGCCUCCUCCCUGUGCAACAAUUUCCCAAGCUGCUCAAAUUCAACAAUUUACAAUAAAAAUUCACCGUGUUCCAAAUGAAAAUUUUAAGUUUGGUUUUUCUGGUGUUGUUUGAGCGGUUACCGUGGUUACUGUCUGGUAUCUGCGAAACAGUCUGAGGCUCCACAUAAAUGGUCCUCUGAGCUUAUAGGCCACAUCGACUCUAAUGUCAAGUGUAAUACGAACCAUGAAGUGGAUUCUGCUAUUUGUGAUGUGUUCCUUUACAUGUGUGACGAUUUCAUCUAUAAUAUGCAGGGGUACCGGUAUGAGCUGUGGUGUCUUGCACGUGCUUCGGGAAUAAGAUAUUGUGUGGUAUUCACUUGAUGUCUUUUUUAUUUAAAGUUAAUUCCAUUUCAUCAAAAUAUUUGUACACUUGUAUUAGCAUAGCAUAAUUAAAAUAAACAUGAUGCAUGUGUUCUGAAAGUACUACCUUUUGUUAGUACUGAAGUCAGGUAUAAAAACAAUCUGGCGAGUGGAGACAAUCAGAUGAAUAUCAAUGCAGCAUAAGAUGAGAGCUAAGAUGAGUAACUGGAUGUGAUUCUUGAACUGUGAAGACCCACAGACAUUAGAAUGUCAAUUUGAGAAAUGAAGUAUAGUACAAUAGAUAAUUUUAUAUGAGAAAUUGGAGGGAAGGGAAUAGACAUCUGAGUUUACCUGAUUUGACUUUUGGCACAGACUUGAGUAGAAGAGCAGGGUAGCUGUUCAGUUUUGUCCACAGAUCUGGUUACCACAUGUAGGCAGAUAUUCUACAGGCAAGCGAAACUCCUUUUCGAACUGGCCUUAAAAAAUAAGAUAGCAUUAGCAAAGUGAUGUUACUAGAGUUUUCUUUAUUACAUAAAAAUCAUGAUUUGCAAACCAUGAUUACAUCCUACAUGAAGGAUCGUCUUGCAGAAGGGCACUUGCAGAAACAAGCUUUUGCACCAUUUCAUAUUGUAAAUGAUAUUAAUAGAAAGUAAUUUCCUUCAUAUUUCAUCUUUUAUGUUUCAGUUCUUUUGUGAUACAGAAGUGGACCAUUGUAGGGAAUGGAACGGCAAGCGUCAGGAGAAAGGAGAACCCUCAUAUGAUAGUAAUAUGUAAGUAAGAUGCUGUGGCUCUUGUUGACAUGUUGUUUGCACAAUAUAAUACUACCUCUGAUGAAUUAAUGUAUGAGGUAGGGGCUGCACGUUACUUUUUAUUUGAUUUCAAAUUACAGAUAUGUUACAUAUAGUUGCCAUUCUUGUUUCAAAUCACUGAAAAUAUUUGAUAGCCUAUGGAAGCCUUUGUUAUUGUAUUGGGGAGGGAAUUGCACAAACCACCCAUCAUUGGGAGGGUUGUUGCGCAAAACACCUACUAUUCGUCUUUUUUGCGCAAAACACUUACUAUUCAUCUAAUCCGUUGCACAUAAGUCCUAACCCAAGUUUCAGCAUGUUAACGACGUUUCUGACUGUGGGACCCACCCGUCAGUGCCAACAUGCCAGCCUGGGCUUGCCUGCAUGUAGCGAGUCGAUGCCGAUCGCCUUGCCUAGAGCUUCGGCGGCGGCUCACGCGGGGCAGAGCGCGUGGCGGCUGGCCACGCGGGUGAGAGCGUCAGCGGCGUGCACGUGCCAAGGCGACGACAGCGCCUGUGCGAGGGCGGGAACGGCGGCUGGUCCCGAGGGCCAUGGCGACGAAGGCUUCAAAGCACGGUGGGCACGCGGGCGGGCUGGGCAAGCCAUCGGCAUACCGAAGCUGGGCAAGGCCAUUGGCAUCACCCCGAUCUACGCUGGCAAGCACAGACUGUCAUGUUGGCACUGAUGGGUGGGCCGCACCGGUCAGAAACGUCAUUAGCGUGCUGAAAUUGGGGUUAGGACUUAUGUGCAACGGAUUAGACGAAUAGUAGGUGUUUUUCGCAAAAAAUACGAAUAGUAGGUGUUUUGCAACAACCCUCCCAAUGAUGGGUGGUUUGUGCAAUUUCCUCUUGUAUUGGGUUAUGGGGAAAUAGUUGAUCACUUAUUCUCCAUUUGUGACCUCUUCUAUUGCGUCAGAUUUGAAGAUCUGGUAAGGAGAUUCGAGAGGCCAGAUAGGCGCAGCCGCUGGGACUCCCCCCUUUAUGAGUUAGUUCCAUUUAGAGGUAAUCAAAUUGUUGAUGUUUGUCUAAUUAGUUUCAUUUUCACGGUAUGCGUUCUUGAACCAGUACAUAAUUGUUCAUGUUCUAUCAUAUAUAUCCAGUCCCUUAUGCACUCCCAGCAUAGUAAAUGUUCUGCUCGUAUCUUCUUUGCACUUAUUCCAAACUCUACUGGCUGAACCUCGAAAUUAUUGCUCGUUAUUGUCUAGCCCUCGUAGAACAGCUGUGCAGGUGGUUAGUCACUUUAGUUGGAUGGGUUAGUUUUAAAUGUGUUAUUUAAAACAUGGAAACUUGCUGGUUUCUAGGCACAAUCCUUCUUCUCCAGUUCCGGAUUGGUUGCACUUGCAUGGGGUAACCUAUUAGGACUUGGUAGUUCAGUACCACCAAGAAAAGGGAACUUAUAUUUACCUAAUGUCUACUUUCAUAAAUGCUCAUCCUCUUCUUCCUUUACUUCCGUGACUCAUCAUGCCACUUGAUCAAUCAUUCAAUCUCACAAUCUGUUUUGUUUACUGUUUUCAAUAGAUGGAGUAGUGGAAUUGUCUCCUGUUAUUGCUGAGGCUGUAUCAUAUUUGACUAAGAAAUUGGAUUCAAAAACAAGAGAUGUAAAAGUUCUCCAACCAACAAUAGCCACUCAGUCUGUAAGUAAAAUAUACUUUUUCUAACAAAGGAGUUCUUAGUACAUCAUUGAUUGACUGCAAGUCUGCAACUGCAUGAUUUUCUAAUCCCCAUGCACAAUAUGUUCCAGGGUUAUUUGGUGCUCUCUUAAUGCCUGUGUAAAUUUAGUCUGUUACUAAAAUAUAUUGCAGACUGAUAAAAAGAACAUAUCAAUUAAUUGUGUUUGGUUCAUAUGCUUGUUUUGAUGUUACACUGUGUCAAACAAAUUAUGUAAAAGAAAAUAUCAAUUAAUUGUGUUUGGUUCAUAUGCUUGUUUUGAUGUUACACUGUGUCAAACAAAUUAUGUAAAAACUGAUGGUGUGAAUGCAAAAAUAGUUAACAUUCUUCUAGUAAUACGCAAAUACUGUUUACUUCCAACCUGGAUAGUGUCGUCAGUGCAACUCUUCCAUCCAUAGUACUUCUUGUAGAUCUGACUUGCUAUUUCAGGUACGGACAACUGAGGCUAAUUCACUCUAUGAGAUGGACAAAGCAACUCAGGUAAUGACAAAUGGCAGUUGACUUGAUUCAUACUUCAUAUUGUCUUCUGAAAUGUGUCUACUUCUAGAAAACCUGCAAGACUGAUACGAGCUGUACUUUGCAGGAGGUGGUCAGUGCAAUCGUUGAGGCGCAAUCUUGUGGUCUUGGCCUUGCGGUGAAUAAGCUUUCUCUUGGGCCUAACUUGCCAACUAUAUCCUCGACUGUUUGAGACAAGACAAUAUUUUAGUAAUUAUAUCACUGCUAGAGUUAUAAAUAAAAAACUCCUAUUGGGCAUCCGUAGUUAUGUUGAAAAUGUGCGUAUGCAUACUGAUUCUUUUCCCAAACUUGCACAUGACAAUAUAUUACAUUUACUAUGGCGAUCUAGGAAUCAUAGCAACUUCCUGAUUCAAAAUAACCUUCUGAUAUCAUACACACCUUGUGCUCUGUACACAGAUGUCACAUAUAGAGGUUUGUAUGUGCAUACCACUUCUUCUUUUCGAACCUGCAAAUGGCUCCAAGCAUCAAUCAGGCCUAAACUCCGUGGGUGCUAAUUUUCUGUCGACAUGGUCUCGAUUUCAGAUUUGAUUCACAAUUUUUGGACAUAAGGUGAAUAUCAAAGCUUAAGGGUGUGCAUUUUGCCUUUAAUACGUAUAAUAUGUAAUCAAGACACACAAUUGCUGCCACCCUUGGAUGUUAUUGUUGAGUUGUGGGAUCCUUAACUGUCUGUUACAUUAAUCUUCAAAGAUCAGUUGGCCUACCUGAGCUACGAAGCCUCCGGCGCACUUUCAUCAAGCUGGCAGGGCAGUACAGCUUAAGUGGACCACCCCCACCAACAGAUGCUGAUAGUGCGAAGAGGAUGUUUGUAGACUAUUUAAACCGAGAAAUCGGUGCUUGAUGGUUUCUUCAUCUCAUGAGUUAAUCCUGCUGAUGAUGUGCUUCCCAAGGGACAACAUACUCUGAGCAAAAGCACUAGGAGCCCUGCAGUGUUUUCUCCUGCCAUGCUCCUCAUCAGGCUUUUGUGGUGGCUAAAUAGAUAGUUUGCUUCACCCGAACUUCUACACAACUAUUCAGAAAUGUUAGCACACUAUAACUUCCAUAUUGCAACAUGUAAACUACAUAAUUUGGAAGUAUUACUGAAUUGUUUAUGUGACAACAAAUUUGGGAUUUGCUCAGAAUUUGAUCGGCUUGUUUUGUGUUGCAUUUCAUCUGUUCUUUGAUCGUUGCAGAAACCGCAAGAUUGUAUAACAAUCAAUUUAGAGUCCCAUGGAAGGUUCCUUGGCCUCCAGCGUAAGUUUACCAUGCCUAAAUUUAGGCGUGCCAUAGUUUUUCAUGCAACAGUCAUAGAUUUCGAAUACUUGGUAUGAAAUAUAUCCAAACAGAUGUCUAACAAAAAACACAUUCAUUUUGCUACUGGGAAUUUUCAGAACAUUUCUAUUUGGAGAACUUCUCUUAACGGAUCACUUCCACUUAGAAAACUGUGAUCAAUGCUAGCCUUUUGUUCAUACAACCCUAGCUUACAUGUUAUCCUAGUAGAACCAUCUCAUUAACCGGCACACGCGGUUCUCUUCAUCCUUGGAAUCAGUCAUCGCCAUCAUCAUCACCCUGGUUUCCCCGGGAAGCACCUUGGAUCAUUUCAUCAUCAACUCCUACAAAAGAUUUUUUUAAUGUUUAAGAUUUAACAUCACCACGGAUAAACUAGAACGAAGGAGGAUGUACCUUCGAUGAAGGACUCAAAUUCAUCAUCUCCAGGUCCUGUUGCUGUUGGUGCCACCCCGUUGACUGGUUGACUAAUCUCCAUCCAGUUUGGCUGCUCCUCCGGUCCCGAAAACAGUGAAGGUCUAUCCACAACCCAAUCAUCAACUAUGUCUAUAUUGUCUACUGAGACAGGAUCAAAUGCCUUAACCUUGCUUUGUUGCCUAUGAACAGUUGUAAAUCAAGUCACUUGUUACAUCCAUACUUUGCUGGGUUUUUUUUUCCUUCAGAAUAACAUGUCGAUAACAAUCAAUGGAAAGGUUCUACGCAACAAGUUUGAUUACCUGUGUUGUAGCCGUAGGUUGUAUUGAACAAAGGUGAGGUAAUGCAUGCGUUGGCGUUCAAAAAUACUCAUUCUUGGGUCAUGGAUUUGUUCAAAGGGAAUGUGUGUCUGAUCACAUCCUUUAGCACUGCAGGUUUGGCUGAGGAUACGUACUGCUAAACGUGUUAAAUUUGGGCAAGAUCCUCCGUACAUAUACCACCAUUCAGCUGCAAGUCAACACAAUAAUAUGUUGAGACAAACCAUAACUUAUAAGUUAAUGUUUUCACGUCCUAGGGUCAAAGAAUGCAUAAUGCUAACAAUGUCAAUCAGUAUUGAAGAAUAAUGCACCUAUAAUAUCAUGGAAGGUUGAUCCAGAAACCCGACAAAUGUACCUCAUGCUUAAAAGGAUGCUAUAGUGAGCAACUCGGUAUCGAGUGAGCGAGUACAAAACAAUCUGUGUAGUACUAACCAGGUGGUAAAGUUCGUCUGGCUCGGAUGGCCAUUUGCCUACGAAAAUCCCCUGCUGCCUCGCUCCGGUACAUAUUGAGCUCCUUCUGAAUUUUAUCUUGGAUUUUGACAUCAGACACCAGUCUUUCUAUGCAAUCUAGCAUUCCUGAGAAAAUCUCAUUCGAUACAUUAGCUCGAAUUCCAUCAAAAAAUAGUGGAUUCAGGAAGAAUCCAGCUGAAUGAAGUGGCCGCUGCACGUGAUUGUCCCAUCUCCAGUCAAUAAUAUUCCAGUAAGCCAUGUAGUCGCUUUUCAUCACCAGCUCUUUCUUGAUUGUUACUUUUGCUUGGUAUAAUCCAGCAUAAACAUACCCCAUUGCAGGUCUCUUGUUGCUGCCAACUAGCUUAAGAAGAUGUAUAAGUGGUUCGGUGAUGCGAACAACCGCAGCACAAGAAGACCAAAAUUGCAAAUUACUAACGAUAUUGCUCACUUCGACCCCUUCAGGUUUCUUUGGCAGCAGGCAGUGUAUCCAUUCAUCUGAACUGACCAUGGCUUGCAAAGCGUCCUUCAGACUGUACAUGUUCUUGAGCGUGACGAAGUUCAUAGCAGCACGAGUCUCUGCAGGAACUAGCAGAUCCUUCCCAUGCAGAUGCUUAUUCAUCAAACUCAAUGCAAGUGCACUGUUGUAAAUAAAUCCAGUGAUGGCUUUCGCAUUGCUUAUCAUCUCACUAAUUGCCGGCACCUUGCUAAAAUCUUCAAGCAUACCAUCAAUGCACAGGUAAGUGCAUGGAGACCAGAACAAUGUAGGAAACAUUUCGCCUAGCCUUUCUCCUGCCGCUGCAUGAACCUCAGAGUUCUUUGUGAUUACUUGGACAACAUUUUUCUCCCCAAGCUCCUCAACAACGCUCUUCAGUAGCUCACACAGCAUAUCUGGCGAUGCAACAAUGUCUGUUGCAUCGACCGAUUUCAGAAACAUAGUGCCUUCUGGGCAAUACACUGACAAGUUCAUCAAGGUCCUGCCUUUAUCAGUCAUCCACUCAUCAGCCAACAGCGAGCACCCCGUCCGGGCCCAUGACCGCUUGUAGAACUCAACCUGGGCCAUCACUUCGUCCAGCGACUUCUUCAGAAUGCAGCCUCGGAAGUCAUGGUAAGAGAGCACCUCAGGCCUCCCUCGCACAGCCGCGAUAGCGUCGACCAUCGGCUGGAAAUGAACGGAAUUCACUGCCUCCAAUGGCACACCGGCAUCGUACAAGAACCUCCCGACUGCCAUGCAAACCUGCUCCUUCUCUGAGCCGGUUGGAUUGAAAUGCGUCGACGACGAUAGUGCGGCUGCGUCAAGCGCCAUGACAGUCUGAUGAUGAGGCUGAUGCGUCUGAGCAGCAGAAGGAGUUGUAGCAGGCUGGAGAGGCUGCUGGGCAAACUGAUGCGUCUGUGCAGCAGGAGGGGUUGUAGCAGGCUGGAGAGGCUGCUGGGCAAGAGGAGGAGCGCUCAAGGCGUGCCUCACCGCCACCGUCUUCUUCCUCUUCUUACUAGCAGUAGCAGUAGCAGCAGCAUUAGCAUUACUCUCCCUCGUCUCCAACGGCGGCGUGUCCUCGACGGGCACCUGGUUGAGCGUGAACAUGUUGACGGGGCUGCUGACCCCCAUCUCGGCGCCGCUGCCGUUGGAGGGCGAAGAAUCUAGCACGCCAGCGAUCUGCUGCUGCCGCCUGCCGUCGGCGAGGAACUUCUUGCGCUGCUUCUUGGCGGCGACCUCCUCGAGGCUGCGGACCAUGACGUCCUCGACCUCGGCGGGGACCUUGGGGCAGAGGCAGGCGUUGCCGGGGCGGCGCGCGAGGUGCUCCUUGAAGCGGUGGAUGCCGCCGCCGAGGAAGUGCUUGCCGCAGUAGGCGCACUUGAGCCGCACCCGCCCCGCCGACCGCACCAUCACGCAGUGCUGCCACGCCGGGUCGUGCUUCUGCGCGCCCACCGGCACUAUCACCUCCGCCGCCCCCGCCGCCGCCUCCGGGGUCUCCAUCCUCCGAGUCCUCCUCCCGCACUGCGUCAGCCAUCAUCGCCAGUUAGCUGCUGUCACUGACAGCUUAGAUCCCGGAUUAUUUGCUCCCGAACGAAUUAAUCCCACCAAUUUAGCCGUGGGGAAUAAACCUAAGCGGGCGGAUUAAACCAGGAGCGGAGAAGAAGAAGAGGAGAGAAAAAAACUCACCGGUUUUUCGGCGAAUCGGGGGCACGGAAUCGGCGGAAACCUAGCCGGCGCGACCCGGUGGAGAUGCCGAGGGAGAGAGGAAAAACCAGGGGAGGGGGCAGAGAGAGAGAUGAAACGGCUCGGUCUAAUGGGGCGGGCCGGUUCUCGCGCUGGUUUGGUCCGGGUCGGUUGGGCUCUACGGCUGGCGGGGAUGCACCUGGCUAGGUGGGCUGAAUGUUGGGCCGGUUCGUGAACAGAACCUCCCGGUUUUGUUGCGUCUCUAUCAAUCUAAAAAAAUCUAUUUUAGACUGUACAGGUUUAAUUACCUUCCAGUAUUUUGGAUCCUUUUCGCCUUGGUAGCUAACUGGAACAAGUAAAAGCCAACAGUAUAUUUUUGUGAUCUUAUUACUUGCCAAUGUACUAACACUUUGCAAUAAUAUGCGUGCAUUGACCAAUGCAACAGAGGUUUAUCCUCCUUAUCGGACAAAAAAGAAGCCAACAACAUAUUGUUUGUACCAACAUAUUGUUUCUCUUUUCCUCGGUUCUGUCUAGAUCAUGCACAACAACAAAUUAACCUCCCUCUAAGGCUACCAAAAUUCAUGCAUUGACAAAUUAACCUCGCUCUAAACCACCUAGAGAGGGUUCACGCUGUAGUACAACCCUACAGCGCGAACCCGCUUCCUCCUGGAGUAGCAUGUAAUAUUCCUGUGGUUUUGAAAUGUACGAUUGCCGUUAGAAACGAGGGUAAGGCCUGCUGCACAUGAACACCGAGUUAGUACCAAUUGCAAAAUGGCUGUACAGCUCCAAACACUGCGCUGUUAAUAGGCACCGUGGUCUAGCUGAGCCCAAGUUCUUUUUUUAGCUGCUCAAGGACAGCCUCUAUGUCAGACAUGCCAUCAUCAGAGCUGUUUGUUGUUGCAUUGUCGCCCCGAGAACCACCGCUUUUCCCUCCAAACUGCGUGUAUGAAUCAUUUGAAUUGUCUUCCUCGGGACUAGAGUCUUCGAUCUUCAGUUCGUUCUCUAGAAACUCGACAAAUUCCUCGCCAAUUGCCUGAUUGAGCAAAAUGCAAGAGAAAGUUUAUACAAGGUUUAACAUCCAGCAUAAUUACUAGAUGUGGCAUUAUCUGUGUUCUAAAUUCUACUCACUCUGAUGCUAAAUUCUUCUAAUUAAAACCAAGACAAGAAUUUAGGAUCGGAGGGAGUAAUACCAAGUGGUUAUUCUUUUUUUUUUUUCCUAAGUGGUUGGAAUUACAACGAGCAACAGAAGUAGAGUAUAGAUCAACUUACUGAUAAUUCUUCCCACAAGCUUUUAGGUUUCUGGUCUGAAUUCAGGCUAGCUUCCCAGUUCUGAAAUUCCUCUUGCAGAUCUUUAAGGAAAUCCGCUGCAAAAUCAGAUUCAGGAUCACAGCGGUGUCAACAAAAUGGACAUUUUGUGAUUCUUCUAUCUGCAUAACUAUCUGACCUAUCAGCAAAAUCAAACAAGGAAAACUGCAAAAGAAUAUUGAAGUCUGCAAGAGGAAACUGCAAUGAAAUGGCACCGGCACUAAUCAAACUGCACCACCGUAGUACCGAUGAUCAACAACGGAUGAAACAUCUAUUCACAUACUGGCAUAAAUUCUCCAGCCCCAUCACAUAGUAGUUUAUUACUAGAGCAGAAGAGGAGAGGUUUCAGUACCAAACCCGUAGAAUUGCUCUUCUUCUGCUGCAGCGUCAGCUGAUUUACUGCUCCGGGAUGCCCAAGAUGACGAAUCCGUGCCGCUGCCGCUGCUGGCGUACUUGGACCGGCUCUCCGAGUUCAUCAGCGUGUUGUACGCGUGCUUGAUCCGAAGGAACUUCUCCUGCGCGUUCGCCUGCACUUGGAAAUUAGCCGGAGCUCGUCACGGACGCGCAAGACUAACAAAUCUCCAAGAGGGGAAGCAAACAAUGAAGCGGAAAGAGUAUGGAGCACCAGAGCGGCAAUUAAUCGGCACGCACCUCCUUGUUGACGUCCGGGUGGUACUUGAGCGCGAGCCGCCGGUACGCGCGCUUGAUGUCGGCGGGCGCGGCGGACGGCGGCAGGCCGAGCACCUCGUACGGGGACUCCCUCCUCCGCCCGCCGCCGGCUCCCGCGCGGACCCGCACGCACGACCGUCGCGUCCGCGGAAACGAGGAGGAGGAGGAGGAGGAGCUGGAGAGGAGGGGAGCGACGGCGCGGAGGCGGAGGCGGAGGAGAUUCUGCGGCGGCGGAGCGGGGCGGCGGGGGUGUUGUGAGAGAGGGAGUUGGGGACGUGGUGCGGUGGCCUGGACCGGCGGCGGCAUGGCGCGACCGGGGGAGACACCGGCCACACGGGAUGGGGGUUGCUGGAGACACGCGGCCGGCUACUUCGAAUGGCUCCCGACGAGCCUACGACUGGAGCACAGGCAGCAGAGCAUCCGCUGUUCAGAUCGAAGUGAGCCGUAUAGGUCAUGAUCGGACGGCCAUGGGUUUUUUUUUAGGGACGGACGGCCAUGGUUUGUUUAAGCUGACGUCUAGCGAUGACUAACAGAGCUGAUGACGACUAGCUGAAGUUCAUCACUCAUCAUUCUGACAAAAAUUAAGCUUUCAUUUUUCUUUUCUUUUUGAAGUGGACUUUGCUUUUGGUUUCAGAGCAUCUGCAUUCCAUGGUUGCUGGGGCAAAUAUGUCAGAUUGAACAAGCAUCUAACCAUCUGAGCAAGGUUAAGAAAAGCAGAGCAAUAAUAAUACAAGCAUCUGCCAGAACCGUACAGGCAAACGCUAAAAUGAAAACGCAGAGCUGAUCAGCGUCAUACAACCACCGUAGCAUAUAAGGUUGUACAUGCAAAAUCAUCCAAAUCCUACCAUGCCUGGUCUUCAGCCUUCCAGAAUACCCCUACUGGCCACUACGAGGUCGAACUGGAGCUGGAUGACGUUCAUGGGCCUAGCAGCAAGGGUGGAUCCUUCUUCCCACUGCCGGAGUCAGAACCUUCGGACGAGACCGCAGCAAAUGCGCGGAGUGGUGGCUCGAACAUCUUCCCGGCAACAUCUGGUGGCGGCUGUUGGGGCGCAUCCUCUCCGGGGAGCACCACGAGGCCCUUCUCUCUGAGAGACGAUGGCUCGUUGUAGCACUCCUUCCAGAGAGAGUCGACGAGUUGCCGCUCCUCACGGGCUGCAUGGAGGUCAUCAGCGUCCAUUGAGCUGAUGCCUUCGAUCCGGCUCCUGAGGACAUCUUUCAGCUUGUCUUGAUCAGGUAGGGUGUUGCCAGCAGCGGGUGUCUUGUCCCGUGCCAGCUGAAGGAGACCGCCUAAGGCGGCCUCUCGAACUCCAGCAUCGUCGCUGGAGGCGAGGUGCAUCAUUAGAUUUGGGAGACCAAGCUCUGUAGCAACGCUCCUAUCCGCCUUGUUGUCUAACAGGUAUUGCAUGAGAUGUAGAGCUUUCCUGGAAUGAUACAUACAACAUUGUUAUGGAAAUUUUAGGAAGACAAUUCAAAUAGCAGUGGAAAUUCCAAAUCAAAGCGGAAAAGUCCAAAAUUCAACACGAAAACAUCAGCAAGACCAAAUCAUGUGGCUACGUGGCUUCACAUCUAGAAGAGUGGAUGUGUUGAUUACUUGAUUCACAUGUUAGCAUAUUUAUUCAUAGCACCAAGAUUCCUGAAUACAAAUUUCAGUGAAGUGCCCAUGUGUAGAAUAGAGAAGCUAGUUGCCCCCAGAUCCGCUGCAUGCAAAUAUUGUGCUAAUAAAACAACCAAAUAAUCAGAAGGAAAGAGGAGCAGAUGUUGCAUGAUUUGGAUGAACAAUCCUCCACAGCUAUUCAUUUUGUACUAACAAGAGUAGAUAUGCAAAGCUCAUGUUUGUUGCAUAAGGAAAAAUCAUCCAAGUUGUUCCUGAAUAUAAUUUCCUGCUUGCUCGGUGAGUGAAUUGCUAUAAGAUAUAAUCUACUGGAAUUGAGGUUUAGUAUAUCUAUCUGGUGCAUAGAUGUUCACUUAUGAUAUGGUGUGUCAUAGAUGUUCCAGAUAUCAAACAACAUACCUCUGAAGUCUAGCAUCAUCAGAACCAAGAGCAUCUUUCAGUGCAGCAUAGCCAUUUCCUAGGCAAAAGGCAGCAAGUCCAGGUUGGUUAUUACGAACCAGAGCUGCAACAUGAUGAAAUGAUAUCUAUGAUUAGCUUGAAAAACACUAUAUGCAACUUCUUGCAUGAGAUUGUUUUGUCAUAUAUAGAAUGCCUUAAUACGACAAGAAGAAGAAAUGACUUACAAGAUAUUGCUCCAAGAGCUUUUGUGCGGGCAGUUGUGCUAGGAUCAGAUUUGAAGUUUGUCAACAGUGGCUCCAGUCCAUUAGAUUCCAUGACAAGCUGCUGACUUUUCGGAUUAUUUUGCACAAUUGUACUCACAACUUCUGCUGCCUUUGCUCGGAUGCCAGCAUGUGAAUUUUUCAAGUAACCAAGUAGAGGAUCUAAUCCACCAAUAGAAUGGAGAUCUGCAUGGACAAUUUGUCAAUGGUUAACCACAAAAUAACCAUUUAUAAGCAGAAAAAUUGAUAGAUUCAACCAUGGUCUUUACCAUUUGCCAUAUCAAUCGACUCCACAUGCUCUUGUAACUCAUCCAACAUAUCUGGGCACAGAGUUAGAAAAUGACUUGGCACUCAUAGCUCAAUGAAAUUCACCAUUUAACAAGCAUAUACACAUCAGAAUCGACAAUCUAGUGUAAAAAGGUCCAAAUAAUCACCAUGUAAAGCAUAACAAUUCAAGGUGUUUGAAAUAUUUUAUUGAGCUAUCAUAUCCUUCGGACAUAUAUAUACCAUGAAAUUAAACUAAGGCGUAUCAUCAUGUCCUUGAUCCUAGUUACAAUACUGAAGCAAGAAAUAUUUGCAUGUUGUCAAGCACAUGAAGAGGUAACAAUGCACUCAAAGUACUCUACAGUUAUGAAAAUGCUCUCAGAUGUGCGCCAGCAGGUAAACAACGUUAGAUAUCAAACUACGUAAAAUGAACUUAUUGUAACAGCUAUAGGUAGCAGCAAGGAAGUGAAAGCAUGAUAUGUGAUGUCUUGGUCUGCAUAGGAACACUCGAAAGAGUACCUUCAAUGUUCUCUGGAGUCACACCAUGAGACUGCAACACAUCGUCAGGGGUCUUCAUCACCUGGGUGAUCUCUUUCAUCCUGCUGACAACAUCGAUCGUAUUCGCCUGCAUUGCCUCCAUAAACCAUUUCCUGUCCUCCUCGCUGCAAACCGAAAUCAAGUGAACUAUUAAUUACAGGAGGAAUGCUCGGCCACACAAGAUGUUUUUCGGCCGCUUCGAACUGAAUAAUUUUGACGGCUCCCAAACAAGUGAAGAAACGAUGAAGGCUUGACCAGAACAUUGGCUUCUUGUAGAUCAACAAAAUUAACGAUUUACUGACAAGGCUGUUACUGCAGCUUCGUAUUAGAACUACUUUGGGAGUAUAACAGUAUUCUAACACGAAGUAUGAUGCUAAUUUAACGAAACAAUGCAGCUCGCAUAUCAUGAUUCAUCACAGAUACGAACUGGCAGCUGAUACAGUAUACUAAAAACAACACAAGCACAGCACACAGCGUCCGUGAUCGCAUUCGUUAACUAAAAGUUCCAGUCGGUACACACUGGGUAACUGGAGCCAAUAAUAGUUCUGGAAUUGAAUCUGAAGAAACCGCACCAGAUUUUUACCCACGCUUUUCAUCGCGAGACAGCGCUUUCUUCCUAAAAUCUAACCGUAACGGAUGUAGGCAGAGGGGAAGGGGGGGGGGGGCGGACCUGAGGGCGCGCGGCGGGUUGGUGCCGUCGCCGUGGGCGAGGCUCCACUUGAGCAGGCCGUUCCAGUCCGGCCCUCCUCCUGCUCCUUCCUUGGCCAUCUUACCCAAGGGCGGAGGAGAUGCAACGGGAAGCUAAAGGGCGGGAUCUGUUCGUGGGGUGAUGGGAGGAGAAACGGUCGGGAACGAGAGAAUUGCAGGGGAGAUAGAUAUCUGCGGUGGAGGCGCUCGCACGAGGAGGAAGACGAGCGACGGAGCGAGGGGGCUGGGGCGCUCGGCAGCGGUGGCGGCGCUCGCUCGAGGAGGAAGACAAGGAGUUACGUGGUUGGGCCGUCGGGGCGCUCGGCAGCGAGAUGGGUCAGGGCAGGGAACUUCUCCUUGCUUCCCUUUUGUAGUGCUCCCGCUUCUCUUCGCCUUGGUCAGUCGUGGCGUCGUGGGGACGGGGAGACCGGGAGAUGGCCGCGGCGGCGGAAGAGCCUGGGGUGUUCUCGAACCUACGGUGCGCUUUCUCUGGAGGGGAAGUGUCUUGGGCCGUCUUGCUUCUUUCUUUAGAGGAUUGGGUCGGCUUGCUGUUAGGCCAUCAAAAUCCCAAGGCCGCCGCAUUUACAUCCGCAGGCCGUGUUUGAUGGGCAGUACUGGGCUGUGAUAUAACCGUUCUCUCUUUUAAAAGUUGUGAAGGCACUCCGUUCUCUCUCUUUGGUUUGUUUUGUCUGUUUAAUUUUAAAAUACUUCAAUUCAUUCAUCCUAGGACUUACUUAAAAAGACUCGAAAGUAAAAACGGCAGAGUAGUCUUUCUGAACAAACAGUCCUGAUCUUCAAAAAUGUACACGAUGGAUGGUAACAGGAGAUCGAGCUCGGAAAUUUGGGAUGUAUUUGGUCAAGAUGUUGAUUGCCGGCCGAAAAAACAGCUCGGAUAUGUUUGGUUAACAACAAGGUUGGCCAUAUAGUAGUGCUACGUUGCGGUAGUACGAGCAGUAACUUUCCAUCGAGAUGACAUUCAUUAUGACCGACUCGGCCGCAGAGCAACAUUUACGUUUAUACAGGGAGAGCAGUACAUUCAUGCACACCAACAUCAAACACACUCCUUCGAACUUGUGCGUUGUCCAAACUCCUAAUCUCUCGUUAACUAACACUAGAAGAUGCUACAGGGAGCAAAAGAGGAAACGCACACGUCACAUCCUUCUUCUUCACCAAAACAAGACGGACGUGCAUAUCCCUAGCUAUGCUUGCUACGAGCUACGAGCUAUACGUACUGGCGCUGCUGGUUUUGCACUUAAGACUGACUGGGACGAACUACUGCACGGCACUACGUGGAGCUAGCUAGGCGGCCUGCGGUGGCGCGAGCCGGAAGAGGGACUCGAUGUCCGGCGGGUUGAAGUAACCCCCCUUGGGCGGCGCCGCCUUCUUCUUCCCGAGCUCCGCCGGCCUCUUCCUCGGCGGCGGCGGCGGGCACGCCGCUGGCACCGCCGGGAUGCGGCACUCGUCUCUCCUCGGCGUCUUCCACCCCGCCUCCUCCUCCGCCGCCGUCGUCCCCCAAGCGCCGUCGCUCUCCAUCCGCAACUCCACCUCCAUGCCGCUAGCUAGCUUCUCCUCCUUGAGAGAUCAGUUUUGAAGCAAAAGCUCUAGCUAGCAGUUUGGUGAGCUAGCUAACUUCUACUACUAGUAGUACUACUAGAUACUAGAAGAAUAGAGCAGGUGAAAGUGAAGUGAAACCACACGAGCCAAGCUGAAGGAAUUAUUAUAUACGGGCACAGUAGGAAGGGGAAGUGGAGUCCAGCGCGCGGCGCGACGGACGGUGGCGGUUUUUGACGCCGUCGGGAGCAAUGCUGACCAUCUGUAUGAUUAGUGGGGUCUGUGGGAGGUGGGGCCGAGAUGUCCGUGAGAAGGGUGGGAGCGCGUGCGGGUGGAUGAAGGAUUUGGAUGUCUGCGAGAGCUACGCGGCACCGGCUCUGGAACGCGCGGGAACCGGAACGCCGAGCGUCGGUCGAAAGUGGGCGAAUGGUCUAGAGCAGCAUCCGCCUCGGAUUCUCUGCGCCCAUGCGACACGACCGGUCAGACCACCACUAUAUUUGUGUCCGAGUGAUGUUUGUUUUUGGAAGAUUGUCUUGUGUCAUGAAAGAGGGAGACGAAAACUACUUCACACCAACAGUGUCCGUACAUCUCCAAGGAACCAAUUUCUUCAAAUUCAUAUGUUGAAGUUGGGGGUGGUGCUCGUGAAUCGACUACAUGUAAUAUUUUCGACAAUUAAUAUGAAUCGAAAGAAUAGCUAACAAAGAAAAACUCUCUAAGAAUUCAAAUUCUCUUGAAAAUUCUAACAUCUGGUUUGGCACCUCGUCGUUUGGGCCUAAACUCCCUUAAAUUCAUCUUGAAUUCUAGAAACCGACUCACUUGACUAGCGCGGAGCAGAAGAAUUGAAUCUGAAAUUUCAUGAAAUCACAAUAUAAAUAACAUCAAUUUUUCUCUAGAAGCUAUCAUUUCUCUAGACUUGUCUCCAUGUGGCAGACAAACACAAUUAAUCAGAAAUUCAAAGUCAACCUAAUAAAUUCCUAUUAACAAUUUGAUUCUAUUUCAUUUGUAAAUGAGGGUUAUUACCAGACGAGUAUAUUCAUUUGAAUCAAAGAAGUCCCAACACAAUUAUUGUGUGCUGCAUUACCAGCAUUAGAAACCGGAAAUGGUCCGGGGUCACAUUUUAGUUUGGUCGCAGUGGGUCCAAGUUAACCGAGCGGUUCAAUUCAUACACAGCCUGGAAUAUUGAUGAGGUCUAGCUUUGUACGAGUACUACUAGUAGUACGGAGUACUCCUACCGGAGAAGAGAAAGCCCUGUCCUAUCCUGUCCUGGACUCAUGCAUAUCUCCUCGGUCCUCGCCGCCGGUGCAGGGGGGGUUUGUGGCGGAAGGCGUGGCCACGUGGAGGCGCCUCUGUCGCUCGGGCAGUAAAAGCGCGCGCUAGAGUGGCCGCCCGUCUACCACGUGGAGCCGGCCCAUUGACACAGCUGCUAUACAUACCCGGUCUCUCUCUCACUCUCCGUUUCUCUCUCGCUCGUCGUGUUCCCAAGCUGCUGAAGCUUCGCCGUGCGCGCUGCUUUUACCCAAUUUCUUUUCAGAGAUUAUUCCUCCCCGUGAGAAGUAAAUAAAUGGGUACUCGUUUUCUGGCUACUCGAGCAGCCAAAGAUGUUCUUAUCUCAGCUAGAGUUAGCUAAAACUUUGGUUCCAAAAAAGAUGACAGUGGGAUGUUUUUCCGCUCAAAAUGUUGAGCGCUAGUGCAGUGUACAAAUUUCUUACAUGGGGAUAUGUUCUAUUCUUACUGGCACUUGCGUGAGAUAAAAAGUACGACGAGACAGUGGCUCACCGGAGAGCGGCGAAAGGUUUCCUUCACUUGAACGGAAAAAAAUAUAUUUUGGAUUCGAACAUGGAAAAGUGAUUGCAUCAUAGAACAAACAACAACGACACUGAAAGCACAGAAAAAUACUAGUGCAAGCAAGCCAAUUUGCAAUAGAACAGGAACAACGACAACAGAAAAAGCUUGAAAACUUGACGACCGGCUGCGACAAGACAACCAGUGGCCUUGUGCAUACGAGACACACAAGAUAGGAAGCAGCGGAACUGAUCAGAAAUGGUAUCAGGCUAUCACCACGUUUCUUUUCUUUGUUGUUGAUGUUGUAAUCAGCACUGGUUUAUGGAAGCAAACCCGAAAGAAAGUAAGCAUACAUGAAUAAGAAAGGAAACGGCAAACAAAAAGGCAGUUGCAACAAAAACUUCAGGAUAGAUCUUGCUGAGUUUUGUGCGACUAGUUAGUCCUACAUUUCUCGAGAAGUCACAAGGAUCUCAUCUCCCAUGUCUUCAACCCUAAGCUCGGCAAACAGCUGUGUAACAUGAGAGUUCCUCAAUCCAGCCACCACAGAGCCUUCUUACUGCCAACACAAGCUAACAACAGCCUUCAAAUUUCGAAGACAGUCGUUGGCGAAUGACAAAAUAGGCUAUUCCUCAAGAAGAUGAAAUCGCUGCCCAUUCUCUACCGCAAACCUUCGCAGAUCAAGUAGAUUUCCCUCGAACUAGAUCUUGUCGCCUUAGGCCUCAGCAAAGAUACUUUCUUAAACUUCUCUUUGCAAAAUCUGCUAAACCCUGCAAAUGGAACGAUUGGUCAUUCAUCAAUGUUGGCGAAUGACAAAAUGGAACGAUUGGUCAUUCAUCAUUGCUGUGAUAAAAUAUGCAACGAUAACGAAUACAAACUCAAGAGGUAAGAACUUCAUGUAACCUGGUACAUCUUCGUUCUCCAGAAACUUGAUUACUAGGUUGCCUCCCCGUCUAAGAACACCAUCCUCGUCAGGAUCAGGACCCGUGGAGCUCUGGAACUUCUCCAUAGUGAUACUGUAGUCAGCUGAUUCUUUAAGCUUUAUCUUGCCAAUUGCUAAAGAGAGUGCGCGCAUGCCCAGCUCACAAGAUAUAGCUUCAUCUUUGGUUGUGAUCCCUGAAACUACUGGGCACAUGUCGGAUAAUAUUACAGAAAAUCCUCGUUCCUGUACAGCAGAGUGCCAUCGAUUAAUUAUUAUCAACAAAAUGAACAGAGAAUCACUAGCACAGCACAAAUAUAAGUCAGAAUCAUUGAUCUGGGGUCUCCAGUUAUUGAUCAUGAAAUCAGGCACGGCAAGUUUGGUGUUCCGACAGAUGAAGCUUCAUAAUUUGCCAAGGUGAGGGUUGGGUUCACAUACGUUAUGCACAUAGGACAAAACAGACUGAAAAAAUCUGGUAAUCAAUUACGUAUUGUGCUGCUGAUACAAGGCUAAUAGCUGAAUUAGUUCAUAUUGGUUCAUUUCAAAGUAGGAUGUAUCAUAUCCAGCUACAUUCUCAUUUUCAAGACUACCUUCGUUUAUAACGAGUAACUGCCCCUCCAUUACUCGCUAAAUAUUAUCCGACCUUGCAAUUGUGUGUCUUGACAUCUGUUACGCAUCACAUACUAGUGAACCUACCCUCGGUUUAUAUUUCAAAAACUCAUUGCACGACUGUUGGUUAAUUAACAGUUCUAUUCUCGCAAGCAUCGCCAGCCAACUAACUGCAAGCCUUGAAAAUGGUUUCAAUAUAUAUGCAUUUACAGUUGAGUCGCAAAGGUGAACAAAUCAAGCCACAUUACAAGUUCAGAAUAACGUGUAAUUCAGUCAGUGCCUGAUUUUACUAAUCUGAGUAAAAUCCACAUCCAACAACGUAACGGAUACUCCUAGAUAAAAGCAAGCAAUCGAACCUGCGGCGACAUUGCUCUAGCUUGCUGCUUCAUCAGAGCCAUGACAUCGGCGCAGACCGUCCUGACCCGUGAGUCGCAGUGCGCCGAGGGGACCUUCACCUUCUGCUCUGCAACAACCGAGCACCCGCAUCAGACCAACAUCCAGUCCAUAAAUCACAAAUAUCAACGCCAACCUGGGCAUCAUUGGCAGGUUGGCUGACCAACCUUGACAUCAAGGCCGAUGACCACGCCACCCUUCUCGAGCGGGCCGAGGUUCUGGCAGGCCACCUGGAGCCACGCGCCGGGGGCGCACCCGAGGUCGAGGACGGCGGCGCCUGGGGCGAUGAGCUUGUGCUGCUUCUGUAUCUGGAUCAGCUGCAACAACAAAAAAAAGAAAAGAAGGACGAAGCGAAAGCGGGUCGCGUGAGACAAUCAGUUGAACGCGGAGCGCGGGAGCGAGAGGGAGGGGGUGGGUGGGGUGGAGGCGCUGACCUUGAAGGCGGAGCGAGCAACGUAGCCGAGGCGCUGCGCCUCGCGGUAGAAGAAGUCGGCGGUGCCCGUCGCGCCGCUCAUGUUCCCGUUUGCGCCGGCGGCCGGAGAGCGGAGAACGGCAGCCUCGGAACGGGGUUUGCUAGGGUUUUAGCCUCUUAGACCGUUUUUCGCGGUCCGUGGACUACAUGGGCCGGCUGACCUUGCGAGCAUGUCAUCGGACGGCCUACAUGCUACGGUGGGCUUGAAAGAACUGUUUAAGGGUCCGUUUAUUUCGCGGGCGAGCCAAGAUGGACAGGGAUAUCCAUGAAUGGCAUGGAUAGUAAUAUCCAUUUUUCGUGUUUGGUUGUUUAAAUUGGAUGAGCCGGGUUUCUGUUUGGUAGAAUGGACAAAAGAUGGGUGGAUAUGAUAUUGAUAAUUGCAAUUUCGAAAUUAAUUUGAGAUGAACUAACAACAACAGCCAUCGCAAAUUCACUAGCAAAUCCAUCGACUCCGUCCAUUCACUGGAAAUAAUAAACCGAUAGAUUCGCUGGCAAAUCCAUCGAGUCCAUCCAAUCACUGGAAGUUGAGAUGAGAGAAACCCAAUACAUGAAAAUCAAUCCACUGGAAGUUGCGAGGCACAAAAGUAGCAACAACAUCUAGCAACCCCAUGAAAUCCCAUGGAUUCUCGGCCAAAAAUUGGAGCAGCUCGCAGACACAGCAGGGAGGCGGAGGCUCGUUUCUCGCCGUGCGACAGGAACGCAGCGGCUCAUCUUCUUCUCCAUGUGGCACGGACGUGGAGGUGGAGGCGCAUCUUCUCGCCGCCGCCGCCGGGAAUCGGGUCUGGAGUUGUGCCGUGUAAAUCCUCCAUGGCCGCCUCCAAGAAGCACUCCAGCACCACGUUGCGUGAAGAGGCCGCGCCUCGGAGGUUGCCGGCGCCGUGGGGUGGAGUGGCGCGACUGGAGGUCGCGGGCGCAGCGGGGGUAGGUCGCCGGGGAGGGCUGCUGCGGGAGGGGCUCCGUGGGGAAGGUCGCCGGCAAACACAGGCGUCAUGGGGAAAGAGAAAAACGGUUCGUUGUUUUUGCGGAGGCCGCGCUACUGGAUGAGGCCAUCCGGCCAAAUUUUCCGGAUGUGGCCAGCCGGGAUAUUUGGGUAUAUUCCGUUUUGCUGGAUGCUCUCAACCAUCCCAUCGAAUCAAUCAAACAAGUGGCAUCCAUAAAAAAAAAGUGGAUAUUCCUAUCCCCAUCCAAGCCUAUCCAGGCAAGCAAACGCAUCCUAAGUGCCGCUCAAAGAGCUAUCCUCGGGAAAAAAAAAAAGACUAAUGGAGCUUGGGGCUUGUUGUCAAAUUCAAGAAAAGAGAAGAAUAACUGACUGGUCAAAAAAAAGAGAAGAAGAACUGCACCAAUUUAACACGCCGAUGUUUUUUCAAAACAAAAAUGUGACGGACGCUUGAAUUUUGAUGUUCCAAGAACUUGAGACCGUCAAAUUGUUCAUCCAUAAUGCGCUCAUAAAAAAAAAACAAUGACUGUCCCUGGGUUAGGUCUUAUUUAGAACAUAGAAAUUUUUAUACUGUACUAGCAAGCCGUAAAAAAAAUACUCAAUCGCCGUGGAUGUUUCAUCAAACAGACAACGAUGACGACGAAGCGUGAGAGGGUGACGUGGCCCAUCUCUACGCCGCGGCGCCUCUUGGCAUGUCCAAUCUCCACCCCGUCAGAUCACCACGGCCUUCCUUCUUCUAGACAGUUCUUGGGGCAUCCUGCUACUCCCUUCUAGCGUCAUUCCCAUCCUUCCCUUCUCCCCCGUGAAACCUUGGCACCACCGAGGGAAUUCGGCGAUUCGCGACCAAUCUGCACUACACCACCAGCUCUCCGCGCCAUGGCGGACCCGGCCGCUCCUCGCUCCACCGUCCUCGUCACUGGCGCCGGCGGCCGUACAGGUACGGCAUCCCUCCCUCCCCGUCUCCCUCCUCACUGCAUUUCCGCCCUCGUACUUGGCACGCGUUCUAGGACAUGUUUCUCCGAACAGAACCAUGACGAAUUCGCCAGUCUCGAUGGGAGAAUUCCGAUCCGUGACAGCGCUCCGGGGAAUUCGAUCGAACUGGCAUGUAUGUUGUAUAGGCUCUCUAGGGCUAGGAUUGACGAGAACCCUUGGCAGCUCUAAUCCAUUCUGUUAGAACUUAGAAGUACACUUGUGUACUGUGCAUUGACUCCUGUCCUGACUCCUAACGCGCAUAGGGUUACUUGAUUUUUAAGGCCAAAUCGUCUUCAACAAGCUCAAGGAGAGAUCCGACCAGUUCGUCGCGAGGGGGCUAGUGAGGACAGAGGAGAGUAAGCAGAAGAUAGGAGGAGCAGAUGACGUUUAUGUUGCUGAUAUCAGGGAGGCAGAUAGCGUCGUGCCCGCUGUUCAAGGUGUCGACGCUCUCGUGAUCCUCACCAGUGCCACCCCGAAGAUGAAACCAGGAUUCGACCCCAGCAAAGGCGGUAGGCCUGAGUUCUACUAUGAAGAUGGGGCGUAUCCGGAACAGGUUGGUCUUCUGUGCCGCUUUUCUGAUCUUCGAUGGAUUUAGGAAAUUUCAGGGAGUUCCGGUUAUGUCACUUCAGUGCCGCUCCUGAAACUUGACUUAGGCGAGUGUCAUAUUCUGAAAAACCCCAACAAUUAAGUGCUGAUUAAUUUUGCUAUGAAUGUGUUUCAGGUGGAUUGGAUUGGACAAAAGAACCAGAUUGAUGCAGGUAAGUGUUGCAUUGAUUCUGCGUUGCAGUUUGUACAGCAAUUUAUGCGUGUUUGCUAAGUGGAUUGUGUGUUGGACAGCCAAAGCAGCUGGUGUGAAGCACAUAGUGUUAGUGGGAUCUAUGGGAGGAACAAAUCCUAACCAUCCACUUAACAGCCUUGGCAAUGGCAAUAUAUUGGUAAGAUACUGGAGAUGAGUCUAUCCAUCUUUGCUUAUGUUGUACUACUGCAGAUGAUUUUCUCUAGCUUUCUCUGGAAACUUAUUAUCUGCAAUAUUUUAGUAUUCUGUAAAAAUAGACACAGAGUGUUCGACAAAUGAUAGAUUGCCAGUAGAUGAGCUAUAUCUGUCUCUGACGGAAUGUUCAGUUUUCAGAGUUCUAACAAUUGACACGUGGAAGGAUGUUUUGCCCUAGAGAUGUUCAAUUGAUAGAUUUUAACAAAUAGCCCAUGACACAAAGCAAAAACAUACCAAGAAACAGAGUUUUACAAAUGAAUAUUUCUGAAUACUAAAUUCCCUCUGUAGAUAUAUUUUACAAGUGAACCUCUCUUUUGGGCUGAAAUGUUCAUGUCUGAAGUCUUGCUUUGUUUUACUUCUGUUAAAAAUGAUUGCCUACUUAUAAGCUAGAUAUACACAGUGCUUACUCAGCUACUCAUGGUAUAGUUUAUCCAAUAAUCCAAUGAGACAAAUCCAUUUGCAAAUUUGGAAGAUCAUAUUAUUGAAGAUGUGACAUCUUGAUUAUUCAUUUCUCUGUUAUAGGUCUGGAAGCGCAAGUCUGAACAGUAUCUGGCAGACAGUGGAGUUCCUUAUACAAUAGUAAGGUACAUCGAAGAACAUGUAUACCAAAAGAACAUCUUCCCUAUUUUCAAAAUAAGAGAAAAAAAACAGCAGGCAUCAGUUUGGAUAAAUGACAUCCUUUAGAUCAACAACUGUUGAAAAACAGUUGCUCACAUUUCUGAAGUUGAGCAGUUACUCUAAAUAUGCAUCAGUUUGGAUAAAACUUAAGAUUACUAUAGAAGUUUGGAAUAAGUCCCUAUAUGCUACUAAAUAUCUUCAAAUCCUGCAUUUCUUGGUGAGAUAAAGGGGUGAAGCAAAUAUUCAGUGGCAUCUAGUAGUUUUUGUUCAUCUAAGUAACACCUGUCCGGAUUGUGUAGAAUGUUCUGCUAAAUCUUUCAGUUUUGGUAGAUAGCAGAUAAAUUUGAUUUGAAGAGGUGUAUUUUGUUAACAUGUACAAGAACACUAGAACAGGUUAACCUCAUCCUCUUCACUGAUACACAAUAUGUUCCGCUUCAAUUUAGGCCUGGUGGUUUGCAAGAUAAAGAUGGGGGCGUGAGGGAGCUGAUUGUUGGGAAGGAUGAUGAGCUUCUCCAGACUGACACCAAGGCAAUUCCUAGGGCUGAUGUGGCUGAAGUUUGUGUUCAGGUAAAACAUGUACUCGUGUGAUAAUGCUGCAACUGUAUUCUGUGGACAGACGCUUUGAGAUAGCCUUUCUGAUUUAUAUGUUUUUCUUCUUAAAAUAGGCCCUGCAGUAUGAAGAGACAAAGUUCAAGGCGUUUGAUUUGGCCUCAAAGCCUGAAGGUGUGGGCACGCCAACGAAAGAUUUCAAGGCGCUGUUCUCCCAGGUCACCUCUCGGUUUUGAGUUAUCUAUCAUAUCAAGGAGCAUACUCGCAUUUCCACAUUUUUUUAGGCUCGUCUUGGAUAUGGAUGUCUAGCUGGGUAGCUUUGUGCAUGAUGAUGAUGAUGAUGCAGUGUGGUGUACUUACACAAUCGUUGUAUCAAACUUGCUAGAAAAAUGUCACCAAACAGUUCAAAAACACAUUGCCACAGCUUUAUAGGACGGUGCAAAUCGUUGUAUCAAACUUGCUAGAAAAAUGUCACCAAACAGUUCAAAAACACAUUGCUACAGCUUUAUAGGACAGGGUUCUUCUUUUUACACUGUCAACUCAGUUCUGGCGCACACCGCUAAUCCAUAUAUGCCUUUUAGUUGUCCCAGCAGCUAAUAUAUCACACCUCGAUAUGCCCUACACCAAAUUGAGCAAUGAAAUAAUACAGCAGGUAAAAGAUAUCACUUUUGCCAAUUCAGGGAACAAGUAGUUGGAAAUAUGUUACGCAGACACCUGCCACUCAGUUAGAAAAAUCAUAUGCAAUAAGUUUCCGUUCUAGCUAAGUUCAGCAAAAACACAUUAAUUUUGCUUCAGAAAAGGGUCAAAGCUCAUCAACAUAAGCUUCAGAAUAUCACAACGAAACAGCAAAAAGUGAUGAAAUAUAUCAAGCAAAGGCUAGUGGUCUCUACAGGUCUAGCUAGGUUUCCAUGUGGAUUGGGCCAAGAUGACUUUGCCCUUCCAACCUUGCAGCAUCCACUUGUUAUCUUCAUCAACGAGGAAAUCCUUGUGAUAGGACUUGGUUACCUUAUAUCUGGCCUUCUUCACUGUAUCUUGAUUCAGAGGCAGCUGCCUGAAUCCUGCCCUGAUGUUCCUGACUUGCCAUUGCUUGUAAGUCUCCGGCCUCUCAACCCUCUCUGUGCCCUCGCAAGCAACCACGUUUAGAGCUUCCCGUCCGAAGAAAUCCCUUUCAAUCAGAAGCCUAUGUUCGUCCAGCCGUGAACUGGUAGUUUCAAGCAUGUCGAAGAGCGAGGAGAAGUAGAACAGGGCCUCCUUGAAGCGUGUCACGAAGAAGGGCGCGUUGUAAGUGCCAUUGACAACCCCAUGAAUGAACAUAUGUGGAUUCAUCUUCCUGAUUGUGUUGAGAACCCUCAUUCUCGGGCUGUCAUCCGUCACUGUCUCGUCCAUCAUGUGCCUCAUUAGGAAAGUGCAGUUCACAAUAAGAAGCUCAUCCUUGUCGAUCUUGAGAUCUUCAACUCUGACGGUAUCCCACUUGGCAGCUAUGGCAUGAUAUUCAAAGGGGACUUUGAACGUCCGGGCAUACUCACGUAAACGCUGCCCUGUCGCCUCUACACGCUCCGCAGGCCGGAACCCUGGCUGUGGUAAGUCAAUACCGGUGAUUCGGAGUCUCGGGGGGCCACCAAGUCUCCUUGCGAUCCGCUGCAUGAAGAUUGGCCACUGGAAGCCCCACCGUAUGCCGUAGUCAACAAUGUGUAACCUGGUCACAUCCUUGGAAGCAUUCAAGAUGGCUUCAUUAGAGAAGAACUUUGACAAUUUGUUGAACGGGCAUACCGUCACAUACAGCUCGAACGCUUUCAGUAUAUCAGCAGUAGUAUUCCGCUGCGCCACAAGUGAGCGAUAGAUGGUGCUACCUGUGCCGGCAAGGCGAGCCUCGAGCCCGUUGGCAAAGUAAUGCGCCAGCCUCUGCCCGGCAUCCCCCAGAGCAGAAGAAUGCUGUCUGAUCUGCUUGAGCAGCUCGACAGAAUUCCGGUAAUCAUCGAUCGCCGUGGCCUGAGCACAGUGUAUCAGCAGGGUUGUCAGAUCGACCGACUCCUCCUCCGCCGCCGCCGCUCCAGGUUUCCCCUUCUUCCGCCCUCUCUUGUUCCCCGACCCUUUCACGUACACGGCGCUGACCUCUGCUUCGGCAGGCAACGGCGACUGGAGAAUGCAGUUGACGCCAUCGCACAGAAGCACUUUGUCGAACAUCUCCCGGACGGUCUCCUCCUCGCACACCGCCGACUGCUUGCUCCUCCUCUCCUCCUCCUCCUCCAGCUCCACGCCACGGUCGCCAUGUCUGUUCUUCCGACCCUUAUGAACAGCACAAUCCCCUUCCAGCUUCACCGGUUCCUCCUCGCAAGGCACAAUCUGGCAAGAAGAGGUCUGUGUCUGUCUGCCCACGAACACACCAGCGUCGUUUCCUGCAAAACCGCAGCAAGGAUCCAUCCAGGGAUUAUUAUUCUGACGGCACGCCCCCGCGGGCGCCGCGUCGGCGAUGAUGUCCACGAAGGGCUUCUCGACGGCGAGGAGCGCCGAGUCCUGCUGCGGGUCCGUCGCGGCGGAGGAGGCACCGGGGCACGAGUCCUCAUCCUCGUCUUCGAGGAGGAACUGGUUGAUGUACGCGAGGACGGCGUCGCCGGUGACGUCCUCCGGGGCGUCCAGCUCGGCGGUGGUGAUAGAUGACGAAGGGCUCGGCGUUUGGCCGAGCGCCGGCGGGCCCGAGGGCGGAGACGGCCCUACGGAACCGGGGUGGAAUCCGUGGGGAGCCGCCGGGAAUCGGAGGUGCGGAUGCUGCUGCUGCUGCUGGAGGGGGGAGAAGUUGAACAUGUAGUUGGGGGCGGCGGCUGGGUUGGUGACGGAGAAGAUGUCGCCAUAGUCAACAUCCUCGCACGAACCCAUGGUGCUGCUUCUGCCUCUGCUACGAUGACACAAACAAAAAUAAUAUCUUUCCUCGAAGCCUCUUCCUCUUGCGACAACAACAAGAUCUCGCUUGAUUUAUGCUUCUCCUGGCGCUGCAAUCGCAUACGAAUCUCUCUUUAGAACACAAUCGCUCAAGACAGAAGAAGAAGAAGAGAAGCGGCUGAUUUACCUCCGCGGAAGGGAAGGGAAGAGCAGCAGCGACUCUUCAGUAAGAUCUCUGAUCUCUUCUGGGCCGGGGGAGCAAGCAAACACAAAUACAAGCACUGCCUGCUUGCUACUACUCGUAGUAGCUACGGGCCGCGAGAGUUGUGGGAGUCGAAGCCGCCUGGAAUCGGAACCUGGAAGAAGAAAGCGACGGUGAUUGGGGGAAAGGGCCACCGAGAGUCCACCAGCACGAGCUACGGUUCGGGCUACCACUGCUGUAUGACCGCGAUGUCUUUGUUUUGCUGAGCCUUUUCGCUUCUUUGUUCUUUUCCUUCUCUUCUUUCUUUCUUUCCGUUGGUCGUCGUGCAUUGGUGGGUUCUGCCCCUAAUGAUAAAUAAUCUCGCUGCAUUAACAAAUCGGGAACGUACGGCACUGAUGAGACGGACAGUGUAGCUGCUACUCCACGAAGCUUGACUGGAUGCAUGGAACAGAAAGCUUUCUGUUUACUCGCGAAAAAAAUGAGAAGGAUGGACGUCAGCACGUAUGUCCGCAUGGGAUCUCAUCUGAUCUGAUCAUCAUCUCCAGACCCGGAACAGGGGGCGACGUCGAUGGCCGUCGGAUUCUCUCUACGGUUGAGAUAUCCGUCGUCUGGAACAAGUUACUACUACGAGAGUGUCACGUAGUUGUAGCAGCUUGUUCAUCAAGGUGAACGCACGAGAAGGACCGGCGCAAAAGGGGAUUAUAAUACGUACUUGGUGGCACGAGUAUCUCGUUUUUUCUCCUUGCUGCACUUUUUAUUUAUGCUCACGUACGUCGCUGUCGAUUCUUCUCGUCCGGCGUUACGUAAUGCCCGGUCGGCCGUAGGCUACUUCUUCUUUUUGUCAGUUGUGUGUGGUCAUGGUUCCGGAAUCCUCGAAACGGAAUUGGUUGCACGGUUCCGUCUACAAGUGGGAGAUAUGGAAUGAUUUUUUGUUUCAGAAACAGGAAGAAAGGUGAGGGGGAAACGGGGCAGUGUGCGCUUAGAAGGGGCCUUGCAAAGUCCAGAUAGCAGGGUCGAUGGCCCAGAAAUUUUUUGUCCUGCAACGUGUUUGGUUGGUUAGCCCAGAAAGAAGUUUUUGAUCCGGAGCGUGUUUGGUUAGCCCUGACUGGCCCAAGAGGAUAGCAUAUCACCUACGCCCAGCCACGCAGAUUGUGUCGGCCCAAAAGCAAAGUCAGUCCCUAAAAAGGAACUAAAAUAAGAAGAAACACUCGCUCAAAAAAAGAAGAAGAAAGAAAGCAAAGCCAAUCAAGACAUGAUUAAGGUAUUUUGUGUCGGUAAAAAAGAUCAAGGGAUGUACUUACAUUAAAACAAGUUGAUGGAUUUUGCGCCUGUUUCAGAAAGUUUGGUUUAUGGGAUCAGGCUAACGCUCUCUCGGCUUUUUUUCACCCCCUUCCAUGUACUACAUCCUUGGGCGUGGGACGAUUAAAAUCGAAUGGUAAUCGUAUGCAUCAGCUCCAGGAAAUAAAAAAAGAGAGAAAAGAAGACGAGCUGCAUCUGUACCUUAGGGUCACAAGCAUUCAGAACUCAGAAGCCUCGACAUAUCCGUUAGAGCAUGUUCAAUGCAAGGUGUUUAAGGUAGUGCUACAAAAUUAAACCAAUUUAUUCUCAAGCAUCAGUGUUUAUUUUUAUACUAGAGGUGUUUAAUUUCAGACCAAAAGGUUUUAAUAUUUAAUUCUAACCUUUAAAAUCUAAAAUCAGGGUUAGAUAUAUUUUAACCUUUGUGGAUUAACAUGAUGGCUUCUUGUCCUUUUUUCUAUUGCUUAAUUUUUUUUUGAGAGAUCUAUUGCUUAAUUGGUAUAUUGCAAAGUAAAAAAAAAUCAAAUUAGUAUUAGAAAUCUGAGUCUCAGGCAACAUGCUACGGAAGUUGUGUGUGCAUUACAAAGACGUACAGAUGCAUGCAGGUGUUCAUGGUUUGGACUUACUCAGUCGUGUGUGUUUUUGCUGCCUUGUCCCUAAACUAUACCCUAGUGCGGCUCGUGAACUCCGCUUGGCGAGGGCAGACGAUCGAGUCGCUCGAUCAAGUUGAUCUGGAGCACGAACUCCGCUUGGCGAGGGCAGACGAUCGAGUCGCUUGAUCAAAUUGAUCUCGAGCAUGGGACGACGCGGACACAAAUUGAAGACGCUUGGAUUGUAUUCCGCUCGGUAGAUUCAUCAAUGGCUGGCUUGCUGCUAAGGCACAUACAUAUGGCCCUCCGUGCGGAUCUAAUUCCUAAUUUGAGAAUCUGUGUCGCUAUACCAACCGGCAAACAAAAUGUGUUUCCAUGUAUAUUGUGGAUUGGUUUCCAUACCGAUUAUUGAUUUGCUUCUAACGUUCCUUUUCUAUUAUGUUACGAUAAAUUUGGACCCUACGAUAACUAUUGCAAAAUCCGGACCGUAGAAUUUCUGCUAUUUUAAUUAGAUAUUAGAUACUCGUUUUUUUUCAAGCAUCUCUCUGAACACCUUGCAUUAAACAUGCUCUAGCAGGAUUAUAAGCGAAUACAUGUUCCGGUGUCCACGCACCAAGUCCUUUCGAAAUUGAAGGCACAUGAGGGGCUUGGAUCCCUUGACUUAAAGUCAGUGACUUUAUGGUCACUGACAGGUGGGGCCGGAUUCACAUGUCAGUGACUGUAAAGUCACUGAGUUUAAAUCAGGUGAUCCCUCUCCGCACAGGAGACGUAUAUAUCCCGUUCGUUGGAUCCAACGGGGAUCACGUACGUACGUACCCCGCCGUGCGAUCGGAUCUCGCAUGCCGAUCCCAUUUAUACACCGCGCGCGCAAGACAUGCAUGCAUGCGUCACGCUCGCGCUCGCGCACGCGCAGCAGUAAAUUGGCAAAUCGGCACGAUCGAGAUUAAUUGAUCAAGUGCGGGGUAUGUGUGCGUGCGCCCGCGAUCAAAUCCGUACCGGCUCUCCGAGGCGAUCGAUCGGCCCCAUGCAUAUAUCGUCCGUCCAUCACGCGGGCCGUGGAACUGUGCGUGCUGUGCGUACGGUUAGAGAGCCGCGAAAGGUAUCCUAGGGCAGUCUAGCUAAUACCGUAAAACGUGUGCUGUGUCGUCGUUGGAUCAAGAUCCACCAGCCAAAUCCAUCGAUUUUUCUCUAACUAAAUAUCAAACGACUUCUCAAAGCAAAAUGGUUAAUUAAUUAGAGCAAUAAUCUACACAGCUGGUUAGGACUUGUUUGUUUCUAGAAAAUAAAAUAGACAAGUCAUGUUUUUUUAAGGGAAACAAAUCAAUUGUGCCGGUGCAUUACAGUCUUCGAGGUUUUCCGUGCCGACAAAUUGGAGCAGUUUUUGGUGCCCUGCAAAUUCUGAAGGCUUCGAAUACAUGAUCAAAAGAUACAAAACAUGUAUACUAGCAUUUUGCAGCCCAAUUGGUGGAGCAUUUUGCUCUUUUUGUAUCGUUGCAUGAUAUGUAUUGCAUUUUCAGGCAAUAUGUGGGCCAUAUCUUUUUUUAGUGUGAGCAACGUAGAGGAGCAGGUUCCUGCUGUCUCUUUUCUUCUGCUGUUAGUCUGUUACAUAUUACAGCUUUAGCAACCAAGAAUUCAUUUCAUUUGAUCAAAAUGAAAUGAAAUGAAAUCCAAUUUGAUAGGAUUUCAUUUGGUUGAAUUUGAAUUCCGGAUUGAAAAAUCAUAUUUGUCUACCACGUGGAUUUGAGGAGUGAAGGACAAUUCUAGAGAAAUGAUGGCUUUUAGAGAGAAAUUGAGGCUAGCUAUAGUGUGAUUCCAUGAAAAGUCCAAACAAUACAUGGUUAAAUUCCAAGCACUAGUUAGGAGAUGUGAUAGAAUUUUUAUUCUUAUUGGUUGCCUUGAACAAUGGUCAAGCAAAUAAUAGCAAUUCGUGUCACAUUAUCUUGUUUUCAAGUUACUACACCCAUUUUUUUUACAUCCAGAAUGAUGGAAGGAUGUAAUAAUACUACUUAUAACUUUCUUGGAUGUAAUUGUUUUUCAUCUUGAAGUAAGUUCUGCCUCUUUAUUUUCUUACAUCCAGAUGUUGGAAGGAUGUAAUACUACUUACUUAACUAUGAAUUAAUUUUUUUUUCAUAUGAAAGGAAUUAAGUUCUGCCUCUUUAUUUUCUUAUAUACAGGGUGAUGGAAGGAUGGAACACUAUCUUAAUCUGGGAUGUAACUUCGGGUGGGAAGGGGGGUGAUGGUAAGUUUCAGACACACCACCUAGUUGCAAACUCCCAGAACUGCCUUGUUUACAUUCUAAAACUAUGUGGGAUGUAAGUUCGCAUGACUCUGUAUACUCAGGUUCACUAUGUGAAUCCCAUCAGGUAGCAGAUUCAAAUUCUUACUCAAGUGUAAAAAAACAUGAAGCAAAGUAAGUAUUUUCAUAUGAAGGUGCAUCAUAAAUGAUUUUCAGUAUUCCUAGCAGAUCCUUUAAUUUUUACAUCCUGGUACUAUAGAGUUAUGUUUGAACGAAAGUUUCAAGUUACUUUGUGUGCAAAACUCUAUUUCCAUGUGUUACUAAUUCAUAAGAUCUGUUGACUGUUGUUCAGCAGAGUGACACACCAGUUUGGUGUACAGAGCUAGGCAACAAUAGCAGGGGAGGUGCAUGAAGCUUCUAUCUAAUAUUGACUCUCUUGUACAAUAGCAGUUUGGAUCAAUUACUUCUGUGACGAACUGACGAUCUGUUCGUGCAUGGCUGUACUUGUUGAUUUUUUUGUUGCGGCACAAGCUACAUGCUAGUUCUCAGAUUCAUGUCUUGUACCUGUGCAAACUGUUCUAUUUUUGGAUUUUGUAGAUCUAUAGUAGGUGAAAUUCUAGAGAAAUUUUAUUUUGGAUGCAAAAGGAACACCUUACCGAGGAUCACGUUUGAAAUAGCUUAUCGAUAAUUAUUUUGUGGGCAAUAUCAAUUUGCUUGAUGUAUGCUGGAGGUGCUGCUUUGGGUCGACGGGAGCAAUAAAGCAAAAGCAAGGACAUUGCUUUUAAUGCGUUUGUGUUCGGGAGCGUUUGUUGUCGGAAUCCGGCAGCCCAACCCACCUGGUCGGGAGCACUUUUCAAGCGUACAUAGUGCGCGCGCACUGUGUAGCCUGGUCCUUUUAUUAAUAGAGAAUCACAUUACACGAACAAACAAACGUGGAAACAAAAAUAUUGAUCAGGAGAAGAACGGUUAUCCUGAAAAAUUUGCAGAAAGAACCUAAUGGAUAGAAAAAAUACAUAACGAUCACUUGGGAUUCCUGCACUCGCCGAAGCCAGCGGCCGCCGCCAAACUCCAACGUCGUCUAGACGAAUGUUGGAAGAGACGCCGAACCUCCACCAUUGCCAGAUCCAAAAAAGCAUCAUCGCCAACGAGCCUUUGUGAGUUGAUGAACAGGCCCGUUGCAAACAACGAGGCACAUGUCGUUGUUGCACGUCGACCAGGGGAUGUCCCCGUGCUUCCUUGGACCUAGAUCCACCGCAUCCCAUCGACGAAGUCAUGGAAGAACAACAGAUCCACCACCUCUGGACCAACAUUCUCGCUCCAGAGAAACCACCUCGCCCCGGCCCUCAACGACGCCGUUGAUAACGACGAACGCCGGUGACACAUCGAGAAACGGAUCUCACACGAUCUGAAGAACGACGAGAAGACCAAGCUGUUGAUCUAAAGGACCAACAAGCACAUGUUGCCAUCAACUCUAAGGCGCCGUCCCUGAAGGUUGCCGCCAGUGUGGGAGUAGAGUUGAGGCAAAUUUAUUCACCUGGGCGCCGCUCUCACCACCCCAACGACGCACCACGGCAGGCAAAACCAGCCCACACUACAGUCCAAGAUGGAGGAAGAAGGUUCCCCCUCUCUCCUGCCGCCGGAGCGGCAAACGGAGUGAGAGGGGACCAGAGCCUUCACCGACGGCGCGCUCCUGUCGCCUGGGAGACGAGGAAAGAACCGUCCCUCGAGAGGGGUAGUUGUUGAAUGUCGCCUCUGUUGGGGUGGAAGCCACCGGGAGGAAUUGUUCCUGUGCUAACGUUAAAGUUUGAGCCUUAUCCUUCUGAUGAUCUAUAGUUGGGCCAUCUGGUCUACUAGGGCAACCGCAGUGGGGUGACCCAAAUUAACGGACCGCGUUUUGUGUCCGUUUUGGUCCAUUUGGAUCGCGGCCCGUACUGAAUACGCUCUGCUGCUCGGCCUUCAUCCGUUUGGGUCGCCCACCACCCUAACCCUAGCGGUGCGACCCAAAUGCGGCGGACCAUUUUUGGCGCCCGAAUUCAAAUCUCUCCCCUGUUCGCGGCUAGACUCCCCGCCGGCAAGGAUUGAAGCCAAAUCGAUGGCAAUUUAAGAUACAAAAAUACAAAUUAGUGUUCAGGCCUCGCCGGCAUACAUAGCAAGCAUAGUUUCAUACAAAUGCAACAGUUUUGGCCACAUAUCAUUCCUCCAAGGAUGCGGGCACAUCGCGUUCUUGUAUCAUCUUCCUCUUGGCCAGGAACCAAGCUCGCGUCGGAGGGUCCAUGAGGCUCAAGUCCGCCGUCAUGAUCCUUGUCUCCUCAGCGAGCAUAGCGGUCGCGGCUGCAGGUUUGGUCGUCGCCCCAUUGGCCCCUCGAUAGCGAGCUUCCUCUUUUGCACUUUGAUGAAUUCCUUCAUUUGCUCCUCCUUUUGUUGAAGCACCUUCUCCUUCACGGCUUCAUUCUCGGACCACAUCUUCUUGAGUGUCUCCUCGAAGGCAAGGUUGGAGGCCUCACGCUUGGUGCCUAACUUGGAGUUGGUUCUCCCCCUAGACCGGAAGGCCCGGGUUGCUACCUCGAUGUGGCCAGAGGCCUCGAGGUCGAUGACGCUGCAGUCACGUUUCUUCCCAUUGCCGGAGCUCUUCUUGGUGGCCAGAUAAACAUCUUGCCACUUUGGGGCCUCCUUGAGGAUCCGCCAACAAGGAUCAAGGCAAAUGGUUUUUUAUACAUAACUUUGAAGUACUCCAAAGGUUGAUACGCCUGCAGACAAUGAGGACGACACAUUGUUGAGCGCAAACAAAACACAUGAGAAGAGGACAAUGUUAACACAACUCACCAUGUCUCCGACGCCGACACCGCUGAGUGGCCUCGCCUUCACGUGAUCAUGCGCGCCCGCAAACUUGUUGCAUUCGGACUGGAUGAGGCCCCAUCUCUUUUGAAGGGAAACCUCUCCCCGGUCGCUCAUGAAGUUGUAUGGGGGCAAGAGGCGAUGCUCAUGGAAGAAAUCAUAGAUAUGCUUUCAAUACGUGACGACUUUUUGCUCGGCCCCGCAAAUUGGAUCUUGUCCAAUUUCUAGCCAGGCCUCGCACAACAGCUUGUCCUUGCACUCGGCAUACGCCUGCGUCCUCUUGCGUGUUCCCUUCUUUUGACAUCUGGACGUGUCCGAGCCGGUAUCAGUGCCGGCACGGUGUACAGCGGCUCGUUGUCAAUGCCGACCCCCUCUUGUGUUUCUCGCCCCAUUGCUCGCCAACUUCUUCCUCAUACGACGGGGCCUCUUGGCCGAUGAGAACCUCCAUGAACUGGGACGGCUCGUUGUAGUAAUUCGGGUCGGCGGGAUCAACGACCCGUUCAGGCAUAUCACCGAACAGGUUGCGGCCACUAUCCAAAGAAGAGGCAGGGAAAGGGCGGGCCACCUUCAUCAAUAGGCUUGGCAUCGUGGCUGGGGACGGAUUGAGGUCGAGCUCAUCGCCGGCUGCUGCGGACGGAGCCAGUUCGCCAUGUCGGGCGAUUCCGACGAGGGCCGUGAGGCCGGCGUCGUCGGCCGAGGUGGCGGUGGGCAGCUCACCACGCUAGACUCUGUGCUCGCCGCCGUCGUUUGCAAGCUGUCGGGUGGCAAUGCACCUUGUGCUAACUUGCCAAAGAGGAGGAUGGUCCGCAUCGCAUCCUCCUGCUGUCCUUGGGCAAGGGCAGCUUCCUGGAGGUACCGCUCUCUUUCCUUCUCAAGCUCCCGCUCUUUGGCGGCGGUGAGCUCCGCAUCCCUUGCGAGCUUGCGCACCCGCCAUUGUCCCAUCUUCUGGGUCUCGAUGGCCCUCGCAUUCGGGGUCAUCUCCUUCUUUGGUUUCCUUGGUCGAGUGAGGACGUCGGGAGCAGCUAGGUCUAGGGAUGCUAUGGCCGCCUCUGAGGUUGUGGUGGCGGCGGGGGCGGCUGGGGCUCGCCCGUCGAUGGCGCCGGCGAGAAGGGUGGGAUUUUUUGCCGCCAUUGAGGAGAGCGUGCGGGAGGCAGUGGGGAAGAAAGGGGGCAAAUGAAAUUUGAUUCGGUCACAGACAGGGGGAAAAGGGAUGUAUCUAGGGCGGAAGAGCGGAUUUCCGUUCCUCUUCCGCGCGCGAUGCAUCCCCGCCACAAAUUUGGGACGGAAAUGGGUCCAUCCAGGGGAAAAACCGGACGCCCGCCCAAAUGCGUCGUCCGCUAGACCGCACAUUUGGUCUGUUUCCCGCAAACGGACCACGCCGGCCUAAAUGCGUCGUCCCGCUGGAGGUGACCUUAGACAGAAUCUCGCGCUUUGCCGCGCACGCCAAUCACUCCUCCGCAUGGAUGUGUUCUUUUUAUCCCUGUUCUUUUAUAUGCUCACAUAGGAUGGAAUACUAAUUUUAUUUAGACAACGACCAAAUAUUACAUACUAAUUUUAAUGAAAUUAAUAAACUAAAUAAACUAAUCCAUCCAGCUGCCAAAUUAAAAAAACCAAGUAAAUCUAAUCUGCUCAGCUGAAGUCAUCGGCGUCCUCGUCGGUGGUGUCUCAGGGUGUGUAUUUUGUUUUCAGGUCGGUUAAUACGGUUUCUAUACACCAGUUAAUAUGAUUUCGUAUAAAAUACGGCUCAGUUCGGUUAUAACGUUCAAUUCGGUUUGGUUUCGGUUAGAAACAAUUAAUCAAAGUUGAUGCGAAUUUGUGAGCAACAUUUAAUUUUUUUGUCAUGUGUUCUAACACAAACACGAUGACCAAAUACGAGUUGCAUUGUUUCCGUUCCACUGAUUUUUGUAGAUCGGUUUACGGAAGAACAGAGGCAGUGCCCUCCAGCUACCAACACUUGCCUACAGCGAGCGAUCAAGCGUUCACGUAGCCAGAGCCCAAUUCUGAUCACGAUAAGGGAAGCCCAAAUGCAUAUGGGCUUGAAGUUCCAUUAUAAUUUUUUAUGGGCCUGAAGACUUGCAGGCUGGUACAACGAAACCUACAGGCUGCCUCGUUCGGCCGUUGGCCCCGUUCACUGCCCUGUCGCCACGAUUUGAUCGGAGGCUUGAAAGUUGAAACAUUAGACAUGUUUGUUUGGUAUUCAGCUUCAUCUUUUGAUGGUGUUUUUUAGUUUCAUGUGUAAACAUGAGAAGUGUUUUUGAGAUUGCUAAAAGCACCAAAAGCUGAAACAGAAGUCCAAACAAACAGGACCUUGGUUCCACAUGUCCGGGGGCAACGAGAGCACAGAGCUGGAUCCUAUAAAAGGAGUCAGGGUGUGCCUCAAGCUGAGAAAUAUUAGGAGUUGGUACCACCUUGCUAGAGGGGCCUGCCUUUAUAACAUUUUGCCGUUUUUCAAAAGAAAAAAGCUUUUGUUUGGUUUUAUUCUGUUUGACCGAAUUAUCUCAGUUAUUACUGAACGGCUACGGGUACUCCCUCCGUUUGGAUUUGCAAAACUUCUAUCGAAAUUUGUGCCACACUUUGACUAACAAUUACUCAAAUUAUAUUUAAAAGUUGUGAAGGAACAACUCCACCUUACUGUUACAAUAUAAACAUCACAAAUGUUGAAGGAACCAUUUCAACGUGCUGCGCUAGAUAUCGCUCUAGGGACGAGGAACUGCCAAGAGUUUAAUCAAGCUGUUAACACAAAAGAUCUAAUUUAAGAUCUAAGACAAAGAACAUUGCUUUUUGUUUCUUCAGAUCCCACAAGUUGUGAUCCUCAUGUUCUGAAUUUUUAUUUAUUUUUGCUGCAGCGACUGAGCCACUACACGACCGGUUUUCUCUCUCCCUUCCUGGUUUCCAUCGGAUCUAUAUCUUCCUCCAAGGUAACCCUCGAUUCUUCUCCUCCUUUCCGUCAUGAAUGUGGCCUCUUCUGUGUGAUACUAGUAGAACAAAUCAAGAAGUUCUGCAACUUUUAGAAAUAAAUCUUUUAUUGGGUUUCAGAGUUUCCUUUUCCUUGUGUGUUCAAUUUAUAUGCUUAAGGGAGAACUUAUGAGUUAACAUGCUAUCCUGCUCAUACCUGUACGUAAGAGAGUGUUAAAAAGGGGAACGAAAAUUGAUGGGGAUUAAAGAUAAAGUAGUACUCCCUCCGUUCCGUAUUCUUUGUGUUGCUCAAUUUAGACUGAUGGAACGGAGAGAGUAGUACAGAGAGAUUGCUCAAUACAAAUCAACUAGCGUCUUCAGUAAAUAAAUCAAUACAAUUUUUCACUUGAUUGGCCAGCUUUUUGGUUAAGGUGGAGCCAUGUAAGCUAAUACUCAAGAUUUAAUCUAAGUGUCCUUAGCCAGGGGCCUGUAUAAGAAUUUAAUUGCCACAAGGGUAACAACUAUUUAGAUAGCUUACUCACAAAACAUGUAGUCAGAGAAUAGUUCUUAGCCUCACAAAUCAGGACCCUAGCAUUUUGCUAACCCUGCCAUGAAAUAAAUAUUUUUAGGAUCCCAGGUAGCACCCUGUUUUGAGUGGACAAUAUAUAAGCUGCACACUUAAGGCAUUAUGCACACUAGUAUGUCUUUAGGUGAUUAAUAGGGAAGCUGUGUCUAGGUAUAUAUAGGUGAAGCUGUCCUCAUGGAGGCAAUUUACAUCCGAGGCAGCCAUCAAAACCAAUAGUUUAACACACACUUUCAGGUGCGUUAGUUUUCGGCCAAUGAAAUGAACAGAACCAAUACCUAGAUAAGAGAGUGAAUUAAACUGAAACUAUAUGGUAACUAGUGGAAAUGCGUGCGCUGCCACGGCCCAACGCACACGUCACGCGACCACUUUAAAAGAUGAUCCCGUGCACUAAUAAAUCAUCAUUCAAGUUUUAUACCAAAUUUUCACAUUCUAACAAGAAAAGACCAAUACAAAAGUUCAAAACAUAGAGCAAAUUUGUAUACAUCCAAAAGUCUGGAACCCAUAGAAAAAAGAUGCUAAUUUCCAAUUAUGCUGUCGAACUAUCAGUAGAUGCUAAUUUCCAAUCACAGCAUGCGCAUGGUAAUCAUUUGGUGCAUGGUAGAACACUAAUCUAUCUAUUAUCCAUAGCAGCUACUAUCAAUCAGGUUGGGAGUACAUACCAAUUAGCUAUCGAAUUAUCCGUCGAUUAGUGCAAAGCACCACAACAAACGAAAACAACAAGGACUCGCUGGAUGGUUGAGCUAUGGCCGGCCACCUACUGGAUCUCAUGCGUGGAUGGCGGACGACGGCCACUUUCUGGAUCACGCAUUGGGACUGCGGACAGCGGUCGUGGGGUGGAUCUCGCUUGGGGUCGGUAUGCUUGGAGUGGCCAGGGCGCGAAGUGCAGCGAGAAAAGCAGUGAUGUCCAGGCGAAGGAAGGAGCAGGAGGUCGGGGGAGAGAAGGGAGGCGGGUGGGGUGGUGGUGGUGGGGGGGGGGGAGGGGGUAGCCAGAGAGGAAGGGGGUUGCGGCGGCGGGGGCGAUGGAGCAGGUUGGGUGGGGUGUCGGGAGGAGAUCGAGCAGGUUGGGCGCUAGGGGCGUCCAGGUCGAGAGAAAUAACGAGCGGUGGCAUAUUGGCCUUAAUUUUGAUGACAUGACGUACGACGGCGGUCGUAUCAUCACCACCAACUCCAAUUUAAUACUGUAUAGCAAAAGAACCCGUGCGUUGCUACGGAACAACGGAAAAUUGUAUCAAAACGUCAAAUUAAAUGUUGAUGUGUUUAUGAUAUGUUUAUUUUCGUGGGCUAUAGUCUAGUCUUUUUCUUUUUUCAGAUGUCUUAUUUAUAUAUUUCUCCUUACAUUAUUUCUCAAAUCUCUUCUCCCAAUUUCUCGCUCUCCCUCUGACUAUCCUCUCCAUCCACCCUGAGUGCAAACUCCUCCUCUCCCUGUCCCGAUUCAUCCCGCCACUGAACAUCACGCCGCCAUGCGCGGCCGCCCGCUUGUAGAUUCCCGCCGCCCGUCCCCUCACGUGCGCCGUCUGCUCCCACUUGCGGCCAGGUACGCCUGUGCGCCACCCACACAUCGCGUUCGGCCACUGAUCGCCGUGCGCCACUGCCCGUCCGGAGGGCCACCGAUGGCUCGCGCCGACGCGGUCCUUGCUGCCUUGCGUGAGGCCAUCGCCGUCCAAGUCCCGCGGGAAGCCACCAGCGCGCACGAGCCGGUGGAAGCGGCGGUCGGAGCGCGCGACAGAGCUGUGGGUCCGCAGCCGCCUUCCGCACACGGACGCCGCCGACGCGCACGAGCUGGUGGAGGCGACAAGAGCGGCGGCGGGCGUGGGCGAGAUCCGGAUCGGGCAGGGGGUGGGGGUGAGAUUCGCAGGAGAGGAGGAGGAGCGAGGAGGGCUCUGUUGGUUUUUUUUUUGGGCGGUACGUGUUUUUUCUGCGCUUGAGGACUGCGGGAACCGGGAUUAAAAGACACGUGCAGACAUCGGUGGCAGAUUCGUAAUUUUGAUGAAGUGACGUACCGCCACGACUGUAUCAUCACCACCAACUUCAAUUUAAUAUAUUGGUAUAGAUCCAUCAAAAGAGUGUUAUGUUUGCUCCAUCACACGGUGUGGUGGAAGUGCAGACCAUGCACACAAGGGAUGAAUCACACUAACAUUGAUCUAGCUGUGAACUAAAACUAUCCAACUUUAUUAUUCUUUCAAGAAUUAUUUCUUAUAACUCACAUUUGUAGCUGGAGGACGAACGGAAGUCCAUGGCGAGUGCAGCCUCACCGCGGCAAGUGGAUCCAACUUCAAUACGUUUUCUUUGGAAGUAUCUAAGGUUUGUAGCUUCUUCUCCUCUUGCCCAAAAUCUGGUUUUGGUUGUGCAAUGGCAUGGAUUGGAUGGUUUGCUGCUACUCAGUAGUAUUAGUUGCCCAAACCUUGUUUCCUAGUAGGUGCUAGAGCUGGCGCUGACGCUUCUCGUUACUGUGGCUCAGCUCAAAGUCAAGUAGGUGUUGUUGCUGAUCUUUGUCAAAUGAAAAUCCACUAGAUGUGUACGCGCGCUUCGGCUAUAUCAUUCGAAGCGAGAAUUAUUUGUUGAUGAAUUUAUCGCACAACAUAAUUUUUUUGGAAUUUUUUUAGGGAAAAAAGAAUGCUGUGUGAUUGAUUGCACGGAAUAUUUGCUUAUGAAUCUAAUCGGUUGUCGCACCAGUGGCACCCGGGGUGCCACCGCUGCGCGACGCGUGGACCCGUCCCUGAGUUCCUGGGAAGGUUCCAUCCCGGGCAGCGGCUACGGGCAGCCCGGCAAGCUACCAGUCCGGAAGGGCUAGCAAAGCUUCGGGGAAUAUUCCUGCCUGGGCACCUCCCGGGAAGCCGCUUCCUGUGGGGAGGUUCCUGGGUGUGUUGGGCCCGGGCGCUUCCCGGGGAGCGACUUGCCGGGAUAAGGGGUUCCCGGGCGCAGGCCCCCGCCUCAAGGGUGGGGCCCGGUAAACAGAUCAACAUUGCCAUGCGGGCGCGUGGCGGGCGUGGGGUGCGCGACCCCACCGGAGCAAGGAGUAAGGCGCACGGCUCAUUAAGUGAGCCGACAGGAGGGGCGUUACCCGUCCAAAUCAAGUAAACAGUGGCUGUCCAAUCCUACCCUAGGGUUUUAGACCCCUAGCGGCGGAGGUGGCGUCCAUUCGCGCCACCAGCUCACCGAGGGGGAGUUGUAUGUCUCCCCGCUUGACACUUGUAGCCCAUGCACCGUGGCACCUGUGGCAUCCCCUUGAGUAUAAAAAGAGGACCCCCGCUAGCGGUCAAAGGGUUCUGGCUGGUUUCGAUAGGGUUGGCUCCAGUUCCGGUUAGAGGCUUCAAAGUUCCACGUUGGCAAAGUUAGUUCAGGGCAGCAAGUAGCGUUCGCAAGGAAAGAGAGAGAGCCCGGGGACCUUCCCCCGGCAUGGUGUAAACACUUGAUCCAGAAUCAAUAAUAGCUCAGACAAGCAGGACGUAGGGUUUUACACCUCCGGGUGGCCCGAACCUGGGUAAAAACGUGCGUGCAUGUGUUUUUUGAUUAGUGCGCACCCCUAGCACAUCAUUUCGCCGGCCCCGCAGGGCCCAUCGGCCGUGCCGGCGAUCGCCGGGGCGAACCCCGACGCCCCUGCCGAACCUAAAAGGGGGCCGUGAUCGCACGCCCCCGGUGUCGGAGCAUCGUGCGACGACAUCGGUUUAAUCCAUAGCAUAAGCAUUAAUUGAGGGUGGAUAGUCCGACAUGGAAUUAUUCAGGAAAAAAAUAAAGUUCCUGGAAGGAUGGAUAGUCCAAGAGGGAAUUAUUAACCACGUGGUAGUUUACGGCAGCGAGGCCCCUUUUUCUCUUCCAUAGCCCACGGAUGGAUAGUUCUUGGACUGAGCAAACUUGGGCCGGAGCCCGUAGCCAGAGUUGGCCCGUUUACGUCCCGACGGCCCGUCUGCUUCCCUCUGUGCUCCAAGCCGUCGGAUCGAAUGAAAAUAAGGGAGCCCGAACCCUAACUCCCUCAUUCCCUUCCCUUGUCCAGCAUACAUGGCGGCGCCGCGCUAAACAAAAAAACAUGGCGGCGCCAGCGCGGGGGCGAUGCUCGAAGGGGCGAGCAUCUCUGUCCAGCAUCCAUGGUGGCGCGGGGGCUGCGCUCGCCGGAGCAGCGUGCUGGGACUCUGUCCCACGCGCUGCUUCGUCGAGCGUGGCGGCCGACGCCUCGACUUCAUGCGCGUCCAUUUGUAUGGGUGGUGCAAUGGCAGGGAUCGGCGCUGGAGUUCAUGAUCAGGCGACGGCGGCGCGCACGGCGUGAGGCCAUGCUCUUUGUCGUUUGAAGUGCGGCACCCGCCGUGUAAGUACCAAAAUUCCUUCUUUACGGUUCAUCAAGAUUGUGGAUUUUUAGGGUUCGUCAAAAUUGGGGACUUUUUUCAGGGUUUCGAAGUUGACUCCCCUCCUUCUAUCUUGCUGCCUUGAGACAUUAUGGCCCAUUAUACCCAUGGCGUUGAAUAGACUUCAUCACCGAAUUCACGAAAGAAACUAAACAAAAAUGUGGGUAAAACUUAUGUUUCGGAAAUAUGCUUAUUUAGUUCUAACAAAGCACGUACAAUAUCAGCAGAAACCACCUCGUCCCCAUGUCUCUCGGAAGGCACGUCCAACCAAGCAAACAACAACAAAAGAACGAAACCUGGCAGACCGCAAAUCCGGAAUCAAAGAUAAAAAAAAAUACAAAAAAAAUGGUACACACACAACAGAACGAAAAGGAAAAAACAUUAGCGAAAACCAAACGCGAAAAAGCAGACAACAAAAUAAAAAUCAAAAAAGAAAAAGAUAAACGCAACAACGACGGAAUGAAAGACCAAAAAAUUAGAGACAAAAACCAACAGAACAAACCACGCAGCAGCACCCGAAGCAGAACUCCACAGCAGCACCAACCCCACCUUAACGAAAGCGAGCAAACGAAAAGCAGGCGCACGAAAAACCACGACCAGCAGCCACACCGCGGAGCAAAGAGCCAGAAGUAACGCUCGAAUUGAUAGUAAGGAGAAGAAUUCUCCAGAACACAGUCCAACGACACGUCAUAGGGACACCUCAGGCUCUCCAGAGGACACCCGUCGGCCUGCAUGUAGCACUUUUCAACCACUCUCGCUGAUGGUGGCCCAUAUCAACCGACCACAAUAAAAAUAAAUCGCGAAAUCAUAAAGGCAUUCGUGGAGCAACCAGGAGCCGAAUAACUCUUCGGCUUUAAGUUUGUAGAGUUACUGGAUCAUUUAGAGUUAAAUUCACGACAUGUCUUAAAAGUAUUAGCGUGGUGUAAUCUAGGUCCUAAUAGUGUGAAAUUGCAGAUUUGAGUCCUAAAAGUACUUGAAGUGUAUCACCGGCGGUCCUAAACACGCCGGAGCAGAUCUGACCUGUCCAUAUGUCCUGUUGACCAGCGCUGACCGGCCGCGUCGGAUUAAGAAAGAAUACUCCAAUUUGCAAUUUGCCCUGGAAAUCCUCCGACCCCAAAUCGUGCCUUGGCUCUUCUUUCUGGGCGGCUUUCGGAGCACGACCAUGCCGCUCGCAGCAGGCUCUGGGCGCGGCCACAUGCGGCCGACGGCGGCGGGGGUUCACCGGAGAGCGAUGGCGGAGGAGGGAGGGCGGGGCAGUGCAGAGGAUUGCGGCCGGCAACGGCGGUGGAGUCGUCGCCAGAGUUGGGGAAGGUGGCUGCGGAUCCAUCACCUUUGGCCACGAUGGGGCGCGCCGAGAGAUCGUACGGGUGCGCUCCUGCACGGUGAAGGCGAAGGCGUCGACGGCGACGAAGAUGCGGUGCUGGAGGCAGCCGGCGACGGGGAGCUCACAGCGGCAGCGAGGAACGAGACGCGGGGGAGAUGCAGUGCGCAGGGGCUCCGGGCGAGGGCGAAUCCGGCCUCGGGGAGUCGAGGCAGUCCUCACAGGCGGUUCGACGAGGCCGUGGAGGUGCGGGAGCGGCGGUUCCGAGCCCGGUGACGCCUGGCCGGAGCUCGGGUAGAUGAUGCCCGCGUGGCGCUCGGGCGCGCAUGGGCCUAGGCGGUUCGGAUGAGAGGGAAUCAUGAGGCUGGGGCCUAGCAAGAGGUGUGAGAGGAGCUCGCGGGAACUAGAAGAGGAGGCGCCCGUGCGAGAAAGAAGAGCGAGGGCCACGAUUUGGGGUCGGGGGAUUUAUAGGAAAAAUUGCAAAUUUGAUUAUCCUUUCUUAAUCCUACGUGGCCGGUCAGCGCUGAUCAAUGGGUCACGUGGACAUGUCAUACCUGAUCCGGCGUGUUUAGAACCGUCAGUGACACACACCCAAAACUUUAUUUUCAUACCAUUAGGAUCUAGAUGUCACCACGCCAAUACUUUUGGGACCUGCCGUACAUUUAACUCGAUCAUUUACUUGUGAAAUAGCACUUAAAUCAAACCUGUAGCUAAACAAGAAUGCACGUGUAUUAUGGAUAAACCAACUAUGUUUCGAUUCAACCUACAUGUUUAAUCAUGUGUAUAAACAAACUGACAAAAUAGUACACUAUGUAUUUUAUGUUGGAUUUGCCCAAAGAUCAAUCACAUGAAGACGCACACACACAAACGAUCACACAAUUAUUUUUGCCAAGGCCACGUAUCGUGACCUCUAUUUUUUUUCUCUAUUUCUUUCUCAAUACUCGGUACAAGAUAGCACCGUAUACACAUCUAUUUAUACAUGGUCCUGCACACCUAAACUAGCCGGCCACAUAAACCAGAUAUGAUUAGGACUUGAACAUACUUGUACUGGUCCAACUCUAACUAGUACUUUACUAACUCUAAUCCUAAACUAACACACGGCCAGCACUUCUAAUCCUACGAGGACUCGAUUUCAAGAUUACUCUAAGAAUCUCCCCCUAAUCUUGAAGAUGCCGUCUGCCGCGCCCCUUGCUCUUGGCUCUCUCCAGCUUCAUGACUCGUCGACUCAACUCAACGCAUGAGCCGAACUACCAGCCCACGCGGACACAUCUCGUGUGCUACGUGGAGAUUAGACACACCGUUAAUCUCACGUAGGAACUCAACUAAACUAGUCAUGGUCCCACUACACGCCAAGCCUGAUCUUCUCGCCGAGACACGCAGAUGACCAUAUGCCGCCUUGUCUGCACGCACGUCGAUCUCUUUCUCCGAUGACACACCAUACCAGACAACCUUCGACCGUGACAUGGUUCCACUGCAAUAGAGCCUCACACUGACGAGCACUUGGACACAACCACGACUCACAGACAUUGAUCUGGACAGGCAUAACUCUUCAACGAGCUUGCCGACGAUAGUUUGCCCUGAUGCCGAGUACUUUCCAGCGAUCAGUAUUAUGAUCUCCCGUUACUGGAAGAUCGGCCCACCUCGACGACAACUCGAUCCAAUCCACGCCACGCUACUCCGUUGCACAACCGCAGAUCGCCACCCUGAUCCACGGACGUCGCUGCGCUGCCAUUGCCCGCCCCGAGGCGCUAGCAGAUCGCCUCCCCGGGGCAAGCGCGUCUUCAAAUCUUGGACCUCACUCUGAUACCAAAUGUUGUGUUUGCCCAAAGAUCAAUCACAUGAAGACACACACGCACAAACGAUCACACAAUUAUUUUUGCCAAGAGCGCGUAUCGUGCCCUCUAUUUCUUUUUCUAUUUCUUUCUCAAUACUCGGUACAAGAUAGCACCGUAUACACAUCUAUUUAUACAUGGCCCUGCACACUUAAACUAGCCGGCCACAUAAACCAAAUAUGAUUAGGACUUGAACAUACUUGUACUAGUCACGGCCAGCGCUCCUAAUCCUAUUAGGACUCAAACUCAAGAUUACUCUAACAUUUUAUACCAUAGCAGCUCGCAACAUUCUUAACCUCUUCAUUUAUUCUCUUCGACUAAAACUUUUAGCAUGUGUGUCCAAUUUCAUGUGCAGAUCACAUGGGGCAAACAAUACAUUUGUCCUUUGCUUGUGGAGUUCCCUGUGACAAGGGGUGCAUGCUCCUGAAAGAUAGAUACUUCUGUUUCUUCUCAAGCUAAAAAAAAAUCAAGGGAUCUCUUUUCAUAUGAUUUUCUUGUAGAGAUCUUUGGGUGGGGUGGUAACAAAGAGUCAUGCAGGUUUUCCUAUUUAUGUAUUUCUUUGGUACUCUCUCCGUUCCACAUUUCUUGUCUCAAAUUUGCCUAAAAAUGGAUGUAUCUAUUUUUAAAAAGUGUCUAAAUACAUGGGAGUAAUAAAGAUUGGUAAAAAAAUCAGUUCUUUUGGCUCAUGAUGUUCCAAACUUUAUCAUCUCUGUAGUUAUAUUAGAUGAUAACAGAUAAGGUUGCAUUGAAUCAGCAAUCCUAGAUUUUUAUUCCAGACAGUGGCUAAUACUUUAUCAGUCCCGUUGUAUAUGUUUUCUCUCUUGCUUGCACUUAAGUAUUUGUCUCCAUUUGCUUCGUAGUAGAGUAACAUCAAUGCAUUGUUUUCUUACAAUACAUUUAGUGUCCAAUUAUGCCAUUAACAUUAGUUCUCGCAGUUAUGUCGGAAUUCUAUGGCAAUUGUAAACUUGUCGGUCUUUGCAAAGAGAUAACAUCUGCGAUGUCUCAGUUCUGAUGGGGAGACGAAGGAAAUAAGAAAUGCACGCACUGGUUUGCUUGGUGGAAUGGAGACAUGGGGGUAUGGGUUUUAGAGAUAUUCGCUGUUUUGAUCUUGCUUUGCUUGCUAAACAGGCGUGGAGACUUGUGGAUUCGCCACACUCGUUCCGUGCUUCUGUCCUGCCGAAGGACCUUCCAGAUGGCAACCUCCUCAAUGCCACACUUAAAAAGGGGCCUCCUUUACUUGGCAAAGUGUUAUGGCGGGUGUGAACACCCUCAAGCGUGGAUAAUCUGGAGAAUUGGUAAUGGGUCGAACGUUGACAUCUGAACGGAUCCUUGGCUUCCUGGUUGUGUCCCGAGGGGGCAAAACCUCUUGUCCAAAGUAGCGGACUUGAUUGAUCCCUCCACACCGGUGAAUGGGAUGUGCAGCUAGGCCUGGUAAUGGGUUGGAUUCAAAUGGUUUUUAUGGUUCGGGCUCUCAACUGGGUCGUCUUUCGGUGGGUGGAAAUGGAUUGACUUUCCGAAUGGAUGGGUCUGGUGCGGUUUUAACGUAGAAAUGGUUUGGGGUGGUUUGGUUUUGGACUCAAACGCUUUGGUUUUGUAUGGGCUGAACCCGUGGAUUCCCUCUGGGCUCGACCCGUGGGCAGAGGAGCAGCUAGCGUCGUGUCCAGCGUCUUCUCCGUCUUCCCCAGAUCCUUGCUGGGGGCCUAGGGUUGCGCCGCCGCCGUCUCCCCCAUCCGGCGCUCCACCGCCGGCGUACCUAGGGCCGCCGGAUUCCGCGGAUCCGGUCCCUCACGCUGCCUUCCCCCAGGGAUUUCUCUGCCUAGAUCAUCCUCUCAUUGGCUGGCCCUGCUAGCGAUUGUUCCCCAAGGUCCUACUCUGCCACAAGAUUCCACCAGGACAACUUCCUUUUGCUCCAUCCGAUCUCAAUCGAACCGCCCUUCACUAAAUCGGUAAGCAAUGUUAGAUUCUGUUUUUGGAUGAAUCCGAGGAUUGCUUUCCAGAAUUUUCGUUUUACUCCCGUUUUUGUUGUUCAAGUAGGUGCAGUACUAAUUGAAUACCUAUUUUAUUUGAAGGUACUGAUUGAGUAAAUGUACUUAAUUUGGCCGUUGGCUUCAAGUACUGCUUACAGGUGAUUAUUCACAUGUCCUAAUUUAUUUUUUAUUGUCUGUUCUGCUCACUAUGUUUAUGCAGAAUUCCCUAAUGCAUUGCUUGAAUGUAUAGAGAAUUAACUACUAAAUACUAAUAUUAAUUUCACAUAUACAGCAUGAGAGAUGGUUAUUUUGAUAGGGCAGUUGGUCCUUUGCUAAGAUGUUAUUACAGAUUGACAGCACAUGUCCACUGCCUCCUCCUAGUCACCGAGACCUUCCACAUCUGCCCUGUGAGUGUAUCUUAGUUGUGUUGUAGAACUGCAAGUUUGUCCUGCUUAAUAUGGUCUGAUGCAAAUGGUUUUUUUUUUCGUUAGGAAAACAUAACCGUUGAUACUAGAGUUUCUUGUUAUGUCAUGAGAUGUUGUCUGUCAUUACUGAAUGUGCAAUGCCAAUCAUGCAGCCAGAGCAUGAUAGUCUCUGCAUGUAUAUCUUCUAGUUAUGUGAAGCUUGUAUGAAUAUAUGAAAAAUCUGAAGCUUAUCAGUGAAGCUUAUCUGAAUAACUAUGUAUGUAAAAUCUCAAAAGUUAUAUGUGUGUAGCUACUGUUAGUUCAGAAUUAAUUGAACUGAAGCUUAAUUAUGUCGACACUAAUUCCUGAUGUUUCAUCCCUGUAUAGAUAUCACAUGGGCCUCCCCUGCUAUGCAAAUAAUUUCCUUUCUAUAAGCAGAUCACUCCAUGUUUCAGGUGGUGAAGUGUUCACACAAAUCAUUGUACAAGUGUUGAAUGGAAGGAGUCCAUGAAGAUGGUGACAAAAUUGGUGUAAAAAGAUGGGGCUUUUGCUCACUGACCAGAUGCACUGAAGCUAUGGACCCUAGUAAAGUUACUUUGUGUAGUUACUCCUAGAAAUCAUGUCUAAUGAAGUAAUAAUUCAAUCUAUGUAACUAACCGUUAAUUAAGCAGACAUUUGAUGGGACUUGAUAGUUGCGAUUGUUUGCCUGGAAGGAUUUUUUUUUUUUGCAAUUGUCAUUUCACAUUACAUAAUAUUUGUUUCAUUUGGAUAGCAGGGUUAACCUGUACUGCACCUUUAAUGUUUCACUUUAAGAGCUGAAGUACCGAAUCCAACAGCCAGCACGUCUGCAUGCGCAUCGUGGAUUGUGAGCUAAACUAUCGAUGGCUCUUCUAGUGUGUGUACCGUGGUUCCGAAAUGGUCUGAAAUGGUUUGCCCAGUCCAUUUGGUUGAUUCGGGUUGGAUGUAGAUCGCGUACGAGUUGGUCUGGACUGGAUCGAAGGGUCUAGUGUUUGGGGUGGAUGCAGAUUGGUUUUAUGUAUUGUCUUAUCUGGUUUGGUGCGGGUAUGGUCCGGAUUUCAAACCAUUACCAGGCCUAAGUUGGCCCGGCGAGUAUGCCGGAAUCCGGGCCGAAGGUAGCAGCGGAUGACGAUGAGGCCCCCGCCGCCACUGUUUGGCCGGGGAGGGCAUCGUCCGCUUGCUGCGGAGCCUCCUCCACGCCCGCGCCCAUGGGUUGCGGGGAUGGCGGAGUUGCCGUUUCCCCGGCAGGAGACGCCUCCUGCGGGAUCCGCGUCCCCGGCCUGAACGGCCCGGGACGCGCUGCCAAGCUUCGCCCCGAUAGCACCGGCGGGCGCCUCCACCGUUGCGUCCGCCGCGGGGGAGCUGGGGGCAGGAGCCCCUUCUGGCUCCUCCCUCGUCCUUGCGUCCUCGGCGUCAGAGCCGAAGUCAACCACCACCGUGCCCGC
rnacentral:lncRNA from 1 species